UAUGCCACGUCUAUUGUUACAACCAUCAAAUUAUGUAUUUGGUUCUUGGGAAGGAGAUGCGCCUCGGAAUAGGGAGGAGAGAGAAAGGAAAAAUAGAAAAAUUAGAUUUUAGGCUAGACAGAAGAGACAAAAAAAACAGACGUGGAAGCUUAAAAUUAUGCCACGUCUAUUGUUACAACCAUUAAAUUAUGUAUUUGUAUGGAUUAUGUUGAAGGUGAUGGAAAAGGUCUGCUGUGACAACUACCUAACUAUGUAGGCAAUAAUGCUUAGAACUGAUGAUUUUUCAAUGUAAAUGAACUUAAUUAUGAUUCAACAUCCAAAGCCUAGAUUAAUAUAGAAGAUUCUGGCACUUUACAGUCAUUAUAACUCCAUGAAAUCAUAAAUCCAAGUAAUAAUUAAGAAGAGUAGUACUUCUGAUAAGGGUCUUCAUAGUUGGUAUAUGUGAAUAUUAGACAUAAUAUCCAGUGCUCUUUGUUUGACUGUUUAGCAGAAAAGCAAAUAAUGUAAUUCAAGAGGAAAUAAAAACCAAAAAAAAAACGAAAAAGAAAUGUAAGGCCCCGUUUGGUUGAGGGGAUAAGCGGGGAUAACGAAAGUUAUCCCCGCUAUUCCGCCAAACAGAAUCAUUUUUUACCGGGAUAUUUUAUUCCGGUCAAAGCUUGCUAUUCCCGGUUAUCCCGGAAUAGCAAGCUUUUUACUAUUCCACCAUUUUGGUGGAAUAGUGCUAUUCCCAUGCUUAAUUUCAAACUUAAUUAAAAUUAUAAAAUAAAUUAAAACUAAAUUAUAUAAAUAUAAUAUAUUAUAUAUUAUAAUACAUUAUUUUUAUUAUAAAAUUAUUAAUUGUGCUAUAUUAAUACAUAUUAUUUAUAUUUAAAUAUUAUAAUAAAUUUUAUAAUAAAUUAUAUUUAAAUAUUAAAAUAAAUUAAAAUUUAAAAUUUAAAUAAAUUUAAAAUUUAAAAUAUUAUAAUAAAUUAUAUUUAAAAUUUAAAAUUUGUAAUCUCAAAAUUAAAGUUUAUAAUUUUAAAUUCCACAUUUUAAAUUUUAAAUUUAAAUUUUAAAAUUUUAAAUUUUUGAAAUUUUAAAUUUGAUUUUAUUUUUUUUCAAAUUUAAAUUUGAUCUUAAAUUUAAAGUUAGAAAUUUAAAAUUUAAAUUUUGAAUUUAAAAUUUGAGAUUUUAAAUUUUAAAUUUUAAUUUCAAAAUUUGAAAUUUAAAAAUUAAAAUUUUAAAUUUUAAAAUAUAAAUAUAAAAUAUAAAAAUUUAAAUUCUAAUAUAAAUAAAAAAGUGAUAAUAUUAUUAAUUUUUAUUUAUAACUACCCGCUUUAAAUCUUAUUCCAUCUUAUCUAACCAGACGUUAUUUUUCUUAUUCCCAGGAAUAACCCAAUUUUCAUCCAAACGCAAAAUUGAUCUAAUUCCCGCUUAUACCUCAAUUUAUACCUAUUCCUGGAAUACCCACUUUUUGCUUAUCCCCGAACCAAACGAUACCUAAGAGUAUAAAGAAGCAAAAAGACCCCAAUAGUUCUUUUUUUUUUUUUUCUAACCAGUAUUUUCGAAUCAAGUACUCAGAAAACCAAUUCCAUGCAGAAAUCAACGUAAAUUGCGCUACCGUACUUCAAUCUGCUUCUCCAAGUGCUGCAAAUGCUAAUUUAAGAGGGUAUUUGGAUUGAUUAAAUCGUAAUUUGGUUACGGCUCAUGUUUAGUAAGAGUAUAAACAUUAGUUUUGCCAUCCUAAUCCCACCAAGGAUCAAUAUGACUUACAGCCGAAUUACGAUUACGUCAAUCAAUCGGCAAACGCCUGGAGAAGAUUUACAGGACAACCAACACGGUGAAAUUUCCGAAACAUUCUCGGCAAGGAGACGACUUGCGAUCGAAGAGGAGACGUCGGGCUCGCCGCGCGGUACUCGCGCGGAGUGACGCCGCACCACCUGAAGCUCUCGAUGCUCGGAGCGGAGAUCGCGAGCGUCAUCUCCACGUUUACGGCGAAGGCGUUCGUUACGCUCAGCCGUUUGAGCCGGCCGGCGGUGAUGCGGAGAUCCUGCAGUUUACAGCGAUGGAAGUUCGCGAGGGAGAGUUCCUCCAGGAGGGGGCAAUUCACGUCGAGCGAGGGCAGCGGCUGGCACCGCUUCAGCAAGCACGAGCGGAGGCGGGGGCAGGCGGAGGAGACGAAGUCGGCGGCGACGGAGGGGUAGAACCGGAGGCCGACAAGUUCCAAGGUGUCGAGAGAGGGCAGCCGCGCAGAGACAGGCCAGUUGACGGGCAGUGCAUAGCUGGAUGUGGUGAGGCGGAGAAUUCUCAGCGAUGCGAGGUGGAACAGGUCAGCGUUGCGGAGCCAGCGGCUGACGGUGAGGUGGGAGCAGUUGUGGCGGAGGGCGAGGCGGAAGGAGAGGAGGGCGUUGGCGAAGCCGCAGCGGGGGACGUCGAAGUCGUCGAAGUCGAGGUGGAGGGCGGAGGCCCAGAGGUAGCGCCACCGCCGCGAGAGGAGGGCGGUCGCUACGACCGAUUUAGUCGGCAGGUAGGAGAGGAUACGCUCCAGGAGAUGGCACGGGAGAGACGACAGCCCAUCCAUUGUGGCUUUUUUUUCUCCGUUGUUGUCGUCGUCGUCGUCGUCGCGCUCCUCACGAUCAUCUUCAUCUACUUCUCCGUGAUUUUUUUCGUUUUCGUCUUCUUCGGCAUCUUCGACAUUAUCUUUUCCUUCUUCUUCUUCUUCUUCAAUUUUUAGUUUCUUCCUCGGCGAAGGAUUAUGAUCAUGAUCAUGGGCAGGACGAGGACCAGUUGUUUCCAUGGGCGGAAAAGUAGAGAGAAACAAACGCGCUCGAUCUCCUCGUUAGGGUUCUUCCAUAUAUAUUGUAGGAUGUAUAAGAGCAUGUGUGCAGAUUUAAUCCUAGCCGUUUAUCUCAAAUCUUACGACUGGUGCAGUUCUUUUGUUAGGAUCUAAAAUUUAGUGUCGAUUAAUUAAAUAAUAAUAUAGUUUAAGAGAUAAACAACAUAGGGUCAUUAUCUCAAUGCAUGUUCAUUUUCUAAAUACUUUAAAUUUUUAGAUCAAAUCUUGUACUCUCUCUCUCUCUCUCUCUCUCUCUCUCUACGUAUCAUAAAUGCAAAAUUUCUCAAACUUCAAUUAGGGACCGUUUGGUUAUAUGUAAUUAUAAAUACAGUCAUGCAGUUGGAAAUACAACAGUUAUAAUUAUAUAAAUUUUGUUUGGUUGAAUGUAGUAGAAAACAUUGCAAGUAUAAAUAAUUUGUUUGGUUGCAUGCAGUUGAUAAAUAAUUUUUAAAAUUUUAUUAUUUUAUAUAUAUGAUGGUGAGAUUACCUCCAAUGUAAAAAGAAAAAAUAAUUUUUUUUUGAAAAAUAUUAAGGAGGUAAGCAUACCUUUUAUUAAAAGUUACUCUCUCCAACUGUUGUAGUUGGAACUACGGCUAAUUUGGGCGUAGUUUGAACUGCUGCAGUUGGGCCUCCUCCUGCAGUUCCUACUGCAGCAGUUGAAAUUAAAUACAUCAAAUCAAACACGAAAUUUAUAUUUACAUACAGUUACAACUGCAAUACAGCUGUAACUACAUGCAACCAAAGAGUCCCUUAGUGAUCUACAAUUAAGAAGAGUGUAUUGCUUUCAUCCUAAGUAAAGGAUAAUUAUUAUUUUGACAAGUGACAGGAUUUUUAAAUAUUAUAUUGUCACAUUUGCUAGACCAUAUAAUUAUUGUUAGAGCAAUGCUAAUUAUUGUUAACUAAUUUGAUAGUAUUGAAGAAACAAUGAUUUUAAAAAUUCCCCAACUCUAAAAAUAACAUCAUUUUAAUUCAAAUAAACUCCCUCAUAGUUAUACAUAAUCUGAGAAAAUCUCUAUCAUUAUUUUUCACAAUCAUUUUACAGAAUAAAUUACUAUAUUAUAACUUGUAUUGGAAUUAAUAGUCAACUAAUUAUAAGUCACUUAUUGUACGGUAGGCCAUUUACAUCAUGUAAGCUACAAAUUAAAAUCAUUCCAAUAGUAUCCAGCUGUGGAAUAAAAUAAAUGAGACGUGUAAAGAUGAACUUAAUUACGCUAGCUUAAGAUUUAAGCUAUUUUAUUCUUUUUGCAUAUAUAUUGUAAAAAAAGCCUUUAAUUGAUGCUAACAUUGUAACUAAUUUGUUUCAAUAUGAUCUAGUGUAGGUGAAAGGAUAAUUAUACAAUUAAAUGGUGGUUUUAGCCACGUAGUUGUAAACUUUAACUACAUUCUAUUUUGAAACUGCACCAUAAACUUUACUUUGAGUGAUUUAAGUUAAAUAAUUUAGGAAUUUACUUAACCUUGCAAUAAAUUCCCAAAUUUUAAUAAUUUUAAUUUUUUAAUAAAUAUAAAUAAUAAAAUUAGAAAAUCUGAAAAAGGUUAAAUUUAACCAACUAGAAUAAAUCUAAGUCCAAACCCAAUAAAAACUAAAAAGGGAAGGGAAAGGUGAUAGGGUCUAUAUGUAACUCAAUAGAACUGUUUAAAUUAAUUCCAAGUCCUCUACGCGAGUAGCUAUUCUUAUUCCGUUUAAUUCUUAUUAUUAUUAUUCUUAUUCUUAUUCCCCAGUUCGGGGAUAAGUUACCUCGUACGGUAAAAUAUCUCUGAUUAAAUCGAUCAAUCGAUCGCUCUAGAGCUCUCGCGAUCGAUCUCGUUACCAUUUUCGAUCUCUCUAUUUUUACACGUAAAUUUUCUGCGAAUAAUACCUUAUUAUUCAGGUUUUUAUUCGCCUUUUUUGAGGGCUCAUGCGUGAGUGAGACGCCAUGAAUUGCGAAGUGUGCGAACUCAAAGAAGUGGUUUGUGUUUUGAUUUUUUUUUCCCUUCAAUUAAUUGCUUUUUUUUUUUUUUUUUAGUUUUGUGGGUCUUAUGUUCUGUGAAAUUUAGGAGUUAAAACAAAAAAAAAAAAAAUCAUUUUUACCCAAUAUUGGGGAUUGUUUUUAUAGUAAUAGGAGCAUUAUUCCAAUUAUAGUAUUGUGUAUAAAGAGAAAUGAUAGAGAUUUUUAAUUGCAGGAGGUGGAGCACUAUGAGAUUCGAGAAGUUUUGCGAUGUGAGUAUACUUCUUUUAGUUGUUUUUCAUUCCAUAAUUUUUUUUUUUUUUGAACUGAAAUUAGAAGAAUAUAUAGGUGCUUUUCAUAUUUCUUCUGCAAUGAAGGGGCAUUACAAGAUGUUCUACUUAAGAAUUUUCCUGCAGAGAUAAAUCGAUUUCCGGAGAAUGAUAUCAACAUAACUUGAAAAGUAAAUAAUAACAUCGAUUUGAUCUCCGCAAAAAGUAUAAGACUAUAGAAAAUGAAAUUGUAUGGUGUGUACCAGAAGCUUAAUUGAACUUCCUUUUCCCUGUUUGGAGCUCUUCAUUAGGCCUCAAAAAUGUUUUACGAAAUUAAAUGGGUUAAUUUGGUUCUGGGAUGUUUGCUUUGCAUUGGUGUUGUGUUAAUUACUGGAUUUUCUUACAAAGGCUCCGGCUUUGGUAAAAUUGGCUUAUGUUUCAUAUGAAAUGCGACUCAUUUUCUCUGAUGUUGGGUGGUUAGUAAUUUUAAUGUGCGGUUUUGCCAUUUGCUAGUUUCACACCUCACUGCAGUUCUUAGUUAACAUUGUUACGGAAUUUUGUAGUUGUACGGGCCAAUCUUGCAUUUCAGAUGCAGUUUCUAAGUACCAAGUCAUCUCAAAGUAUUCAAACAGCAGCCCCGACAGACUAAUCAUAUGGAUACACGUCCAAUACCCGUAGUGUAGAUUCAGAUAUAGCAUGAGAAAUCCGAUUUAGUUACAUGUUUUAAUCAGAUCUUUUUUGUGCUUCUGAUUGAUAUUUGGAAAAAAAUUCACAUCCUUACACCCUAAGAUAUCGAGUCUAUGAAGAGAGUAAAUUGGAAAGAAGAGGGUAAAAGAAGUACUUCUUGUGUCUCUUAUUGGCUAGUUUGUUGACAAUUGAAAUCGCUUUUUGACAAUACGUGCUAAGCUCUAAUGAACCUGAAUCCUACUAUCGACUACAGAAUAGUAGUUGCAUUUCGCAGGGGGGAAAAAGUACGUGUAUAGUUGAUCCCAGUGCUGGUCUUUUGGCGACUUAGACUUUCUUGGUUUAUUUUUGCUGCGAAAAAAAUGGUAAUAUGUUCUCACUUUCUAUUGCUGCAGGCAUACUGCAUACAAUUCUAUUUCACAGAGCUUUGGGUCUUGUUCGACCAAAAGACGUCGACUGUGAACUUUUUGAAAUAACUUAUGUAAGUAUUGCUGAACACAAAGAAGUAUCCAGUGGUCUCCGUCUAGAUACACUGACUAUGAGGUGUUGAGGCAGUAAAAUUGAAUUGCCAAGAAGCAUUAUUGUGCUGAAUUCUCUACUGCGCAGGUUCAAUGCGGAGAUCCAGAGAUAGAGAAGAAAAUAGAAGAUAAGAUUGAUGAGUUCAUUAAUAAGGUUGACAAACAUCCGAACAGAAGAAGCCAGGUUUAUUAUUUUCUUCUGUCGGAAUUACUAAGAUGAGUGCAACUUUUUUAUUCUUUUACGUGUAGAGAUGCUAUAUGCAGCAUUUUGCAUUUGGCUUUAUGUAGAAUGUAAUUAUGUGGAUUUCCGCGGACCAAAUUAAACUUUUACUGUAAUGUAUUUAUCAUGCAGAUUUGUUUAUCUUUCUACGACACCAAGAAUAAGCAACCCUCAUGGUUCAUUAGCAAAGUAGAGCGACUGUACUGGGAAACAUGGUGCAUCAAUUUGCAUGUCCUUAACCCAAAAUCACUUCCCAAGUCUCACCAGAAUAAAGUAAUAGACGCUGGAGGUCGAUUUUUCUCUUUUUUUACCCUUGAUUUUGUUUACUAGUACGUCUCACUUGCCCAUUUGUUUGAUACAUGUACUAUCAAUUGAUUUCAGCAUGUGCUUUCGAGGAGACUGAGUCGCACCGUGCUGCGUUGGAAUCGUCACUCCGUGAAGUUUUAUUUCAAAUUAUAAAAUUUGCCAAUGAGAAGAAGGAUCACUUGCCUCCUAUACCUUCCAAUAAAGAGGGCGCAUCAUUUCCAUACGAAAUCACAAUAGUGAGGUCCGUCUCUGUUCAAUCUCUUUUUCCGGUCAAUCCCUUUGGAUCAGUUAUCGAUGAGACCUCGCACCUAAUCAUUUGACUCUUUUUCCUUUUCAUAUAAUUUGCUGCGUAGUUCGUCAGAAUCUUCUUUCGGGUGGCACGCUGAUGUUUUCAAGAGAAUGUUGCAGACGGGGCAUCCGACAAUGAUCGGCUGAACAUAUACUUAGCCUUUCAAAAGGUGCUCUCAAUAUCUUCUGAUAAAAGUUACACAUAAAGAGCCUACGAGCCUUGUGUAUACUGGAUAGAUAUAACAGUGGAGAAUUAAUAGAAGUACAUUAUAUUUAUUAUCUACACAUGAAAUGAAUGAUGAAAUUUGAACCAACGAGUCUGAUAGUUCUACUCAUGCUCUUUACUUUUAUAUUCAUCUGCGCGUGUGGUUUUAAAAUGAAUGUAGUGUCCCUUUAUUUUCCGUGCCAAUUUUGUGAGAUAACAUAUUCUGUUUCUGCAGUUUGUGCUCGCGCUGACUUUUGAAAUUUUUUUUAGAGACAAAUAAACUUCUCGAGUUUCUCUGAUGUUUCUUACUGAAUCUAUGAGCAAGUUUAGAGCUGGUUAUUAUCAUGUGGUACUACUUGUUUCUGCUGCGGCGAAUUUGGUCAGUAAGAGCCUUCAUCCCCCUUUUUCGAGUACAAUUGCUUCUUUAGUCUUCUGUGCCCGGCUUAUUGGAACAGCUUCUCUACUCUGAAAACUGAAACUGCGUCGUUCAAUUAUUAGAGUUUUUGACUGAUGCAUGAAGUUAGAGUGACAUUCUUUGCCGCAAAACCGUGACCACAGAAGAAAAUUGCAGCAAUGUGAUGCUUUGUUCAGGAAGAUCUCUUUUGCUUUCCAAGCCUUAAAGUCUAAGAACGCAUAUCUAGAACAAAAAUUUUGACCAGGUUUUUAAUAAUUGUUCGAAGAUGGGAAGCUAAUCUCUCUUGUUUGAGUAGAUUCCAUUCACGUCUUUUUUUUUUUUUUUAAUUUCCUGAUUGUAAGACGUGGAGUGCACUGAUAAAACAGCUUCAGACUCUCAAAAACUUCCGAGGAUUAUCUGUCCAAUUUUAUUAUUUAAUUUGAGUCAACAAUAUCAAAAUUUAGAAUUAUUAUUUAACUACAAUAAAAUCAAAGUUGAAUAAACAAUUUUGUAUUAGAUUGCAUUGGAUUACAAAAAAUUUUAAUUUAAUUCAGUUUACCCAAAAGAUCUAUUCAGGAGAUGAAAUACGAUACCAAACCAAUUCAAUGAGUAUAUUUAACAAAAUAAAUUAAAUUAUAAAAUUUAAAGAGUCCAACUACUAUGCUAUCGAUAACACCAAGUACUUUUUGCUAUUAAGUUUUCUGUUGUUAAAUUUAUUUUUUUUUAAUCAUUUUCAUUCUUAAAAUCAUACUAUUUCACCGACCAUUUAUUAAACCUAGACAAUCAUUGUCAUGCUAACUGCGCAUUCCUUCGUCUAAGGGCCGAAAACUUAAUAGCACAUGAGUAAGUGCUAUUAAUAAUAUUCUAGCUGAGUUCUAAUUUAAAUUAUCUAAAUAUAUUUUUUUUAUGAAUAGUGUUAAUUAUAAUCAUACUCGUUAGAUAAGUUUGAAUUUAAUUUAGAUUAAACUACAUUAAGAUCAAAUCAAAUCCCAAAAAAAGUAAAUUAAUUUACUACAAUAUUAAUUUCAUUUAAAUAUAUAUAUAUAUAUAUAUAUACUAGAUUAAUUCACGAUCUUAUCCUCUCCGGCGGAGCACCAGAACUCGGUGCGGUCACCGCCUCUUCUCUCUCUGUCAGUCUCUGUGCGUUACGUCCCCAAAUAUAUCUCCACUACGACGCCAACGGAGUUGUUAGAGAGAGAGAGCGUUAAUGGCAUUUAUUCGCCCUAUUCCCCUCCUUAUUCUCCUCUUAUUCCUCCGCUUAUUCACCUACCCUUCUCUCGCCCUAAUCUACGUCUCCACCCCCAACUCCACCUUCCUCCCCCUCUCCCCCUCCUCCUCCUCCGCCUCCGAUGACUCCUCCGCUUCGUUGUUGCUCCGUGAGAUCGUCGACGCGAUCGCGGCGAAGGAGCGGUGGGACGCGAAAGACGGGGUUAGGGUUGCGGAUCUCGACCGCGGCGGGGUCAGGGUGCGGAGCGCGCGGAGGUACGAGGUGCGGGGGAGGGCGGGGAGGACGACGGUGGCGGCGACGUUCUCCGACGAGGCGGCGGGGUGGAGAAGGGCUCGGGAAGGGGGCGACGGCGUUGUGGUGGUGGAGGAGGGGGAGGAUUUGGUCGGAGGGGACGGCGCGGUGGGGUUGGGUUUGGGAGCGGCGAUUAGGGAUUUCGAACUGGUGGGGCCGUUCGAUUUGAGGGUCGGUGGAGGAGAUCAUGAUGAGAUCGCGCUUCAUUAUCCCCUGGUAAGUGGUCUCUUUCGUUCUCUAUUGGAUUUGGUGUGUUGUAGUGGGAAGAAGAGAACUACGUAAACGAGCACUUUAGUUGUUUUUGGUACUUUUAUUACGAGUACUUUAGUUGUUUUUGGUACUUUUAUUACGAGUAAAAUUAGCUGUUAAUUGAAGGUUUCUUUUAUUAUUCAUGAUAAUUUAGUGAGAAUUUGUGGUGAUUAAUGUGCAUGAAUCUUAGAUUCCUUUUUUGCAGGGUAAAUCAGUUGGUUUUUUGAUAAUUAUGUAUGGUAGUAAUUAGCUAUUAAUUGAGUGUUUCUUCUAUAACUCACUUUGGGUUUAUUAUCACUCUCGCUUAAACACUAAUUCAUUGGAAGAAAUUUAUUACAAGUUUGUUUGUUAGACAAAUGACUUUCUCUUCGGUUGCUAAACUCUGGAAAAAAAAGAGAAUUUGUCAGUGUGAUGGAGAUCCAAACUUGGUCAAAUUGAAAAGGUCAUAAGAAAUUAUUGAAAUAACUGGACAUUAUUAUGAGACAGUGAGACUGAGAAUGAGGGAUUUUCUUGGAUAGUUUUUCUAUUAACUAAUUAGAUGAGUGGUGAGGAAGUUUGGAGGAAUGAAAAAGGAAAGAACUUGCAAUAAGUUUUUAAUUUGACAAACUUUUGUUGCUGAUAAUUUUCAAAGUUUGUGGUUGGUUCGAUGGACAUGUAGUUACUUAUGUAAUUUUGAAAAGUAGGAGGCCUAAAGCUAGUUUACACAUCUUCAUUAUUUUUGUUGGUAACAUUCUUUGUUUGUUGUUAAAAGUGUUUUUACUGCACAAAUACUUAAACAGCUGAUUAUUGCUUUGUUGCUAAAAGUGUUUUUACUGCACUUCAUUAUUUUUGUUGGUGACAUUCUUUUUUUGUUGUUAAAAGUGUUUUUACUGCACAGAUACUUAAACCACUGAUUAUUGCUAUGUUGUUAAAAGUGUUUUUACUGCACAGACACUUAAACAACUGAUUAUUGCUUUCUUUGGUUGGAUAUGCUGAUAUAUAUUUAUUGGCGUCUUUUACGUUCUUCCAUCCUCAUCAAUGAGUUUUAUAUUAUGUAAACUUCACUAAAAGACCAAAUUGAAGAGUUGAAAUGUAUCUAUAUUUUAAAUAAAUAGCUGUGCAAGCUUUCAUUCUAGUUCGUGUUGUUGUAUUUCUUCCGGUAGUUGGAUCAUUUCAAGAUUUAGCCUUGUUCUUCUUUUGAUUCUUCACUCAUCUUCUUCACGUGUGUAGUUGAGUAAUUGCCUGUUUCCUAUACCUUCUAUAUUUCCCGCAAUUUCUAUCAUCAGAAAAAAAAAAAAAAUUAUUAUGGUGACAAUUCUGCAGUAUCUGAAGAUAAUAUAACGUGUUUUGCAGCUGAAUACCACCAAUGUAGGUUUGAAGCGUUUACUCGUCGGUGAAGGCAUCAAAAUAAAGGUUGCAGGUGCCCAACAAGUCUCGUUCUCUCACCCUUACGAUAUUGGUCUAUCAAUGAAUGGCAUCUUGGCUCCUCAUGAUGUAGGUCAUUGCCAUAUUUGGCCCCUCAGUUAUCCCGCAUGCGCCCUAUUACUGUCCAUAGAUAUUGUAGGAUCAAUUAGGGUUUUUGUACAAAGCACCCAUACCUCUCGAUACAAGUCGAGUGACACCAUUGAGUUAUUACCUAAGAAAUGUUACAAUAAAAGACCAAGCAGUGAGAUUUCUUCAUGCUUGUUCUGCUCAGCUAGUUCCAGAUUGAGUUUGUUUGGCAGCGUCUUGAUAAAGGUGCUAAGAAAAAGAACUUUUGAGAAUAAUAAACCGAUUCGGUUCCUAAAAGCUAAAGUAACGGCUGCCGCUGAAGUUAAAUUCCGUAUAGAGCUGGAGAAAAGGCUUACAGAGAAUGAUAGGGCUUGGAAGAAGAUCCCGGCGUGGAAAACAAAACCUAGGGUUGACCGCGUGUGGCUUGAGGUGGUGGCUAGAGUUGAAGAAGGGGGGCGGUUGAAGGCUGUGCUACUAAAGAAGCUCGGCAGAAGCUUCUCUAUAGAUGAUUCUGUUGCCUGGAGCAACAUGAUGUCUAAUGUUUCUUUCACGCAGUUCCCGUCUUUCGUCGUACAUCCAAAAGCAUUGACACUGGACGUGAAAUGGUAACUAUAUAAUCAUAUAUUUAUCUUGUAUUUUAAAGGUAAGUUUACAUGCAUAUAUUAAUCUCUUUUUUUGGCUGUAUCGGUAACUUUUGAGGUUUGUUGCUUUUCUAAAGGCUCUCUUGUCUAGAUGAAAGUAUUUUAGCCAAUGCUUGGAGGUUUGUAAAUUUGCCUUGUAUAUCAAGGUAGGACUUAUUGGAGCUCUUCUUUUAAUCUUUUCGAAUUUUAUGUGAAUUGAUAUCAUUAUUUCUCUCUCUUCUUAUAAUUUAUCUAUCAGAGAAAAUGUGGUUGGUAUUGGUACUAUUAUCAUCUCGUCUGAGCAAGUUGGACUUUUAUUUAUUCUGUGGACAUGCAUCGACUUUAGCAGAUGUAUUAAAAUUUAGGCAACUUAAUGAUCUUGUAUUUCUGUUAUGCCUAAAACACAGCUUUUAUCAUCGUUGCUUUCUAGGGAGAGUAGUUGAUAGUUGUAGCCGUAUGCAAUAUUGCUGUCCAUACGAGAGAGAGAGGUAUUGACAUAUGUUGAAUCACUAAGUUGUUACUCAUCACAAGGUAACCUAAAAUAGAAUAGAAAAGCCCAUCCACAGCACAUCCAAAAAACCUCACACACAACGCAUCCAAUCACAUGGAAUAUCUUUAAAACAAGUGGAAAAAAUAAAAACAAAAUCAGCUCACAUACGUGCAAUGUUGAUCCAUCAAUAAUAGAGGAGUCAUCAGAGAUUAUUUUAUUACAAAAUAAAGAAACAUUUGGAGGGACCUUUAGAGCUAUGCAUACGUUCUUUUUCUACAAAUAGGCUUCAAAUUUAGAAUCUCGCGUAUCAAACAUCAAGCUUUUUGUUACUUGUAUUAGAAACGAUUCAUGCCAUACUGCCAAUGUUGAAGGCAUUAAAAGAGAAUGAUCAGUUUGCAAACUUCUUUAUUUGACCGUCAUAUUGAUUCAGCAAUAUCUGGAUAACAGGGUGAACAAAAAUUCAGAAACAAAAAUGGUAUAGCUAAACUACAGAACGUGCUGAAAAGUUUAAUACUGCAUCCAUAAAAUUAUCCAAAUAAUGUGAUGCUAUCAAACUGAAAUUCCUAAAUAAAAGAAUAGGUGAAGGUACAAAGUUCACAUUAAUUUUUUUGAUGUGCAUGUUGACAUUUCUAAAUCUUUAAAAAUGCAAAGGGACAGAAUUAACCAUAUGGUCCUGAAUACAUGAAAGAGAGCAGCAGUUUGAAUUCUGAAGUCGCUUAUUAUUUAGAAUUUUUUGAGAGCGGGAAGGUACCAUGGCUAGCCUCAAAGCAGGCUUUCAAUAUAGAGUAUUAUCUAAUCACUGUGCUGAAUAAUAAACAUGAAAUCGAGGCUUGAAAGGCUUAAAUUACAGCUUAGGCUUUACGAAGUUUAUUUGACCCACAGAUACAAUUACAUGUAUAAGAUUGCUCGAUCUAAUCAAACUUGAUAACUUAAUCUCCAAAAGGCAAAUUUUACAUUUCACUACAUAUCGAGAAUAUUUAUGUUUCACUAACAAAGUUUAACAGAUCCUAUGAUGUUCCAGGAACUAAAAAAUGCCAAAUGUUUACUAAAGCCUAGUUUGGUAAUGUGGUGACUAAAUAUACCAGUUUAAUAUUUUGGAUGGGCCAAAAAACAAAAAAAAUCCGAAAGCGCAUCCAAUCUCCCUUCUUUUAUGCUGGCAUGUAUCUUAGUGGUGCUUUUAGUCGUCACAUAACCAAACCAGGCCUAAGAAUCAUAAAAUAAACUAUAGUUGAAGAUACACUAAAUUUUACACCUACAUCAUCAGGCUGUUCAUGUUUUGGUUAAGCACAUUGAAACACACAUACCUGUACAUCAUCUGAAACAACUUGGAAGUAUGCAUAAUGAAAUAUGCUAUUGCAUACUGGCUUCAAGAGAAUGUCCAUUCCGCCAAGAGGACUGGUGGCAGAAUUAUAUGUUGAAUACAUUAUCUCGCUUGAUCAGGACAUGUACUAAAGGAUUGUGAUACAGAAUAGUUAUUGGAUAAGUUAGACGAAUAAGGCCCUUGCAACUCAUCCCCUAUUAUAACCAAUGAAGAGCAAGCAAACCUUCGCCAAUCUCCACAAAAAGGUAUCAGGCAUCUAUUUUCUGGAUGUUAUCUCCUGUUGCUUGCAAAACGCCUGAAACCUGGAAAAGCUGCUAAAAUCAAAGUAAUUAAGCGUGCUCACUCCAGGAGCUGUUCAACUUAAAUUAGGCUCUUGAUAUAUUCAAAUAUAUAGUUAUUCAUGCAGCAUUGAAUAGCUAGCAGAAAGAACAGAUAGGAUAUUCAAGUAAAAUGUGUCACUGAACCUUUAAAUUUCCAGCAUGCAUUGCAACUUUACAACAUGAUACCUAUUUUAUACAACACGAUACCUAUUUUAUAACUGGAAUCUGCAAUUGCAAAUAUGCAUCUCCACAUUAUCAUCAACAUUCAGUGAAAAUAGGGCACCGACUUUCCGGCGGAACUCGUUCAUCUUUUAAGCAGUAUAGGUUGGUGUACACAACAAUGAGCUUAAGGGGAAAAAAAAAAAGUACACAACGAUGCAUAUCUUUUCUCAUUUUGUUCAGUUUUCAUUCAUUUAAAAUGGUCAUACCAAGAUGCCACAGAUAAGUUUGAGAAAAUGUUGUAAAUAUCCAGAAGAUGAAAAUGUAAAAGAUGAGAAUGGCAAACCUUCUAAGGAGGGGUUUUGGAUUGUAAGGAAACAAAUCCUUGCGAUGAAGAUCUUCCAGAGUCUUCUUUAACGAAAGAAUACAUUCUUUGGCAUUUCCAAAAGGGUGCAGAUUGACACUAUUACUUAGGCUGCGAGAUUUGUGCUUUCGUGGUAUAUACUCAUCAGUCACAAAAGAAACUGAUGAUGAUGGUUGUUCUUCCCCCCUUAAAUUAUCUUCAUCUGUAGAGAUCCUUUGUCUCUUGUGAUAUGAUUCAUUGAUUAAAUUUUUGGGAAUUGUAUAAUCAACAAAGAUUUGCCAAGAUUGAAAAAUUACUCGUAAGCACCUACAAACAGAAAAUCAUGAGGGUGCCGCAACCUUAAAUUGUAUAAACAGAAAAUAAAAAGAUAAGUGCAUAAAAAUGCUUUUACAUAAGAAAACCCCUGUGAUUAUGGCUUUAUGUUUUGAACCAAUUCGAAAGUUUUUGUUUAAUAUCAAUCCAUAUUUAUAAGCUUUCUUCCAAUAUAUAGAGUUUUCAGAAUUCAUAACAACACAAACAGAGGAAGAUAUAAGCAAAACAAACGUACCUUAACAGAUAUUGCACACAAUUAACACCGAUGUCUUUAGAAAUAAGAUAAUCAACAAGCACCAAGUGGUCAUAGUGUAACUGCAAUGUCGAAAAAAUAUUAGUAGCAUGCUUGACGCUGGAUUCUAGAUAAAGGAGAUGCUGAGAAAAAUGGAAAAGGCAGAUAAUGGGACAAUGGAGGAAGAAACAACGUGUGUAAUAAGAAUGAUGCGCGAAUUUUCUCCUUGCAUGUGUUGUAUAGACUAUGACUAGUUCAAAUUUCUAUAGGCUGCCUUAACUAGAACCCAGCAAUAUGUAUUAGUUUGAGCAAGAAACAACUUAUCUGAAAUAAAAUGAAAAAAAAAAAUGAUAGCAGUGUUUCUCACAGAUUCCAUGAGGAUGGUAGUAGAACCAGUGAUGCACUGCAUUUUUUUUUUUUCAAUACACUGCAUUUGACAAGUACAUGUAGUAAGAAAGCUGGAGAUAAAGCUCCAUGGUACUACAUUUGGGCAAUAAUGACUAAUAAUGUUGUCUUCAGCCAUGAGCAAGCAAUGGAAUUUCUCCAGAGUCUAAAGAAACUAUAUUCACUUUAGGUAUGUCCAGGCAUCUCCUAGACUGACUAAUGUUUUUAUUGACACUAUAAAUACAACAAACCAUGCCAAUUAAGCACAAUAAACGAACUUGUAGAAUAAGCUUUUCAAAAUUUCCAGAUGAGGGAAUACUUGACAGCACAAAUACGCAUUCUACUUUCCUUGAUUAUGAAUUUAUGUGCUUCAAAUCGUCACAUGUAGAGGAACAAGAAAAGCAAAAGUAAAGAAAUAAUUGCUUAAUGUGCCAUUCACACACUCACCAAUAAAAGCAGCAGAUGGAAAAGGUGAACAGGAUUAAAAAUACUUGAAAAUGCACAUCUAAUUGUCUCCGCAGGAGACAAUUCCUUUUCAUCGCUCUCUCUGCAAUUUUCCAGAGGUAAAAUCAAAAUAUCAUUGUUCGCAUCCAUGUAUUCUUUAAUGUUAGUAUGAUAUUAUUUCAUGCUGCUUACCCUUGCAAGGCAAUAAAUGGAACAUCCAAAAGCUGUAAUAACAUGUCAAAAAGCAUAUCAUCCUGCAGUUUAAGGAGUAUCAAUCAAGCUAAAUACCAAGCAAGCACAGCUGCACAACUAUUACUGUAGCCUUACUACAGAAUAUGAGAUGAGGACAUUGGUAGAAUGCAAACUUUUUUGUUAAUAAAAUGAUGACCAUCCAAUAGUUGGGACAAUUGUUUUAUUUUUCUUUUUUUGAGAGAAAGGUAGUUGGGACAAUUGUUAGUAUGAAAAGAUUGAAUAUCGGUGUUGCUAAGCAAAAGCCUCCUCUCUCCAGGAAUAUAACAAGCACAAGUUAGGUUUACAUGAUUCUACAAGUCAAAUAGCAGCAAGGAAGACAAAGGAACCUACUAACAAGUCAAUGCUAAUGAAACCUAUCAACAACAAGGAUGACCUGUAAUACAAGAUUAUUAAAACAUUUGAGGCCCGAGACUUGUAAGCAUUACUGAAAAGGUCAUGACUUUCAUAGUUGACCAAUAGCAGCUAGCAAGGAAGUUUCAUUACAGAAUCAUCUGAAGACUCGUAUGCAAGACAAGCAACUAAAGAAAAUCACAAAUUUCAGUCAAGAAAUAUAUGUUAAGGAAGUUGGCUGUAUAGCAGAUGAAUGAUUAUAGUAAAAGAAAUAAUUUAAUGAUAGCUUGCAAAAGAAAGCAUUUGAAGUACAAACAGAUCUUUGGGUAAUGCAGUUUCAGCAGCGACAGCCACUAAAAAGAAAUAAAGAAAUACACAGGCUUUAUUAAAGCAUACCUCCUCCAUAUAAAGUUGCAGGAAGGACAAAGCAAACGAUGUAGAUGAUUUUAAUAAAUAUACACGAUCAAACAUCUCUAUGUGACCACACCUUUGAAGCCAUUCAGAAAUUUCUAAUAGACCAAUAUGGCAACAAUGAUCACCGCACACUGGCAGCUUAUAAUUCAAUAGAGAAGGCUCUUCUGCACAUGAACAUUGCUGACUAUUUUCACCACUAAUGUGGAUCAACACGAAGCAUAAUUUGAAAAAUAGAAAUAUGACUUGUCUCUGUAGGUGUUGCGUACAUGGAAUUUGCAAAUUAACUGCAUCAGAAAAGCUAGACCAAAAUGGAGAUUCUUCCAGAGAGAUUUCGCAUUCAACAUCGGAAUGUGAGACAGAUUUGUAUAGAAGAUCUUGAAAAUGUUGUUUGAGUAAUUGUAGCCAUAAAGCAAGCUGAGAUGAUUGCCACUGCAUGAGGAAGCUAAGCCUAAUCAUAAGCAUCUGCAGAAAACACAAAUCACUGUCCAAUCAGGUUUGUGCAAUCUUACAGUACACUAGUAUAAUAAAGGUUAAUGCCAUUAAGUUUCAAGACUUAAUAGUUCCACGUAACAAGUCAUUAACUUUUUAAGUGAAAAUUAGAAAUUACAUGAUAGUAACAAAUGCUUGCAUGACGUUAAGAAACAGCUUGUCUUUCAGAAUAAGGAUUACCAGCAUUUUAUGUCUGAGAUAUUGAGAAAUGAGUUUGUUAUCAGCUUCCAGCUGAUUGCAGAAGUAAGACAAAAGCUUGGGAACAAGAUCGCAUAGUUUGCAAAACAAAUCUUGCCUUUCCAGUAAAUCAUUUUCCACACCUUCUAAAUCAUUUUGCCCAACUAGGGAGCAGAACAGCUGAAGUAGAGUCCCAGGAAGGAUAGCUUCCAACCCUGACAAGCCAUUAUUUUUCUCACCAACAUUAAUCUUGCUUAAACAAUCCCAUGGCAUAUUUUGAACGAAAGGUGUUGCAAGGUCUAUGUACUUUUCUAAAAGCUCAUUGUUAUCAAGUUUAAGAAACUUCAGAAUGUUACGAAGAAGUCGCAAGAGUCCAGCAACCAUUUGCCAGCUCAAGUUUGCUCUUCUUAACUGCAAAAGUGCAAUGAAGCUUCUCGAGUCGGUACUCAAAUUCUCAAUUUCAUAUAACUUAUCAGUUGCUGUACACGAUGAUGAGUUACGACAAAUAUUUGAUAUUGCUGUCUCUAGGGUGAUCCAUAUAAAUUGAACAAACAUAAUCCAAAUGCUUCCCUGAAACAAGGAUCACCCAAAAGAAAUAAACUGUUAGAAUAUCAAUUUAUAAACUAUAGGCACCUAAUAAUACUGAAUAAUCAGAUAAGAAACUACAUACGAAACUAAUUAGGGUAUUUGAGAUGGCAAAAAGAGUAUUUCCAGCCAAAUGUUGAACAUAUCCAUUGUCAAAACCAAGGAAAGCAACCUGAAAAAUGAAAGUAAGAGAAUAAGUUAAGCCCAAAGCCAUCAUACUAGUGAAAUUACAACUGCAGGGCUAUCAAUGGCCAUGAGAAGAAUCAAUAAAUUCAAGAAUACACGAGGGAAAAUGAUAUCUAAGCUUCAACAAUGCCAAAUAGUACAGUCAAAAGCAGAGAAUCUGAUAUUCCAGGGAACACUUUAACAUAUAACUGAAGAAACAUUGACAACAUGCGACAGUUUUAUUCAAGAAUAUUUAUGAAAGUGGCCGAAACGUUUAUCAAUUAUUAUGUGGGGCUGGUCAAUAUGUUGAUGCAUGUUGAUAAUUGAUUAAUAUGAAAAAAAAAGUCAUUUUGUGUUUCUUCCGAAUUAAUGUGGCAGGAAGCAAUUAUUAGCCAAUGAUAAAGGAGAAAUUUCUGUUCACGGCAAUAAUAAAUGAGAAAUUUGUUUAUCUUGGUGGAAAGCAAUAUUAAAGGAGAAUUUUCUAUCCACAGCGUCAACUUACCAUAAUGGAAACAAUAUUAGUCAAGCAUUUGCAGUCACCAUCGAAAGGUUGCUCCAAGAACACCGGACAACUGUGAACAACAAUAGCAUUCGCCAAACUUUCCUAUAGUAUCAAAAGAGAAAAAGGAGAAACAGGAGAAUUAAUCUUUGCUAUUCCUCAGACAUUUAAAAGGGAAUUUGUCAGGAGUUCAGAAAUCAAAGAUUUGUAACUGGCAUCUAGUACGCCAAAUGGGAGAGUAUUGCCUAUGAUUGGCCUGAGAUGCUAAAUCUCAAUAGUCAAGUACCAACUCAUUUUGGGCAUAUAAUGUCGAGCGUUAAAGCAUCAUAUAUUCUCGUUCUAACUUGAAGCCUGGAGAGAACUGCAGUCGUUGAUCCAAUAUAUGACUCCAUUCAAAAGUUGCAUAGAAGGUCGACUUACACAUAGAAGCUCAUAAUUCACACCACCACUCGUAAAUUCCACUCUAACGAAAUAUAACAAGCAGUAGCUUAUGUUCUCCUCUUCCAGAAGAAUUAAUGGCACUUCAUAUAUCUUUUACUACUUAAUCAUCUGUGCAAGUAUCUAACAUCGAACAUCGCCCUUUCCAAUAAACACUAUUAACUCAAACUUUUAGCACCAAAUUGUACAAACUAGACUAUCAAAACCUAGAAAACGCCCCGAUAUAUGGAAUAAGAGUAAUACCUGAUCUAAUUUCGGGUCGAGAUCAUUCCACCAUUGCCGGAUUUCUUUGGAGACCUAAGACCAAACAAACACACGAUCAGAGGGGAAGCAAAAACCCUAGAGAGAAAGAGGAGGAGAGACGAUGAUUACUCGCGAAAGAGAUAGAAGGAGCUGCUUCUCAGAUUCCUUGUUGAGUGGAGAGGGCUCUGACUCCUGCGAGAAAGUGAGUUCAUGGCGAUUGAGUGAGAGAAACAACGAGAUCGAAGAGGAAGGGAGAGAGCAGGGGAGGAGGAGGUGGGGAUUAGGGCACGGACGAUGAAGGGGAGGAGGGAGCUUGUGAUGAGAUCGCAGAGGCGAGAGAAGCGCGCCAUUUUUUUUUUUCUUUUUUUUUGGAAGACGAGCGGCCGCCUCCGUCGACAUGCCUUCCCUUUUAUAUGUGCGGUAACUGGUCGACGAACGGCGUGAACUAACGGCGUUACUUGCCGUUACUUUGCGUUGAAGUGGAAGAACGGAUACUUACACAAAUAUUUAUCAACAUAUUACAGUUAAUCAGAAAAGUCCUUGGAAAAAUCUAAAAUAUUUUUUAUAUCCUUAAAUGUUUGUAAAUUACAGCUCCCGGUUAUCUUAGAGAAGAACGAGAACAUUCAGAGCUAGAAACAUGGGUACUUACAUAGAGAAGAACGAGAACACUCACAGCUAGAAACACGAUAAAAAAACCUUCCGUAUCAGUAUCCGGCUAGUUCAUCCUUUUGACUACAAUUCACGUGGCAUACCCACAGAAGCGAGCACAACAAACAAGUACAGGAUUAAAAGGAAAGUAAAAUGACUCUCAGCAUCCAUCCAUCCCAGCAUGCAAUUUCAAACUUGAUAGAUGACAUAAAAAGAGAGUUACAACCACAACAGUAGAGCCGACGGAUCCACCUACAAUUUAAGAAAGAAUUGAAAUCGAUGCACAUUCACAAAUUACGGAGCUCCCACAAUUCCCCAUUCAAAGUUUCAGACAAACUGAGGACAAAAGAGAACAACAAAUUCUAUCUUAUAGUUUUACAGAGUGAUUUGCAUGCAUCAAAAUCUUAAGAAAGUGAGAGCAAAUACAAGUUCAUUCAUUCGUUCUUUGUCCCUGCCUUGCCUAGGUUAUCUGCCUCUUCUAAGAGGCCUGUGUAUUCCACGGAGAGCCAACCACCACAAGCUUUCACGAGCAUCAUUCCUCUAGAAUCACACCGACAAUGUCCUGUGCUCGCUGUCCUUUCAGGUUUGUUUCCAAGGAAACCAUAUUUAGAGUAACAAGCAAACUCAAGCGAAACAAUAGAUGCUGCACCAUGAGUACGCUGCAGCAAUACACUUUGAGAACCAUCAGAACAUAUAUGUAAACCACAAAGCAAACUUCAUAAUCAAGUAUUAAUAUGCUCCUUCAUAGGGUAAUGAAGGGACAGAGGGUGCAUUUGCUUAAGCAAUCUUCCGCCAAACAGGGCGGUGCGAAACAGAAUGAAGAGACAUCUGGGUAUUUGCAGAAAUUUGUUCAGUGAAUGAACAAUAUAUAACAGAGAGAAAGAAGCUCAUUGACAAAAAAAAGAAGUCAUGUCUAGUCUGCAGCUGGUGUUCCCAAUCAGAAGGGGUGUCAAGAAACCCCCUGCGCGUAGUGUACGGCACUUGGUUCAUAGAUUGUAUCUGAUAUUUUUGAUGGGGGCCAGUACCGAAGCACCGAUCGUCCAAGAAUGUUCUUAACCGGGAGAGGUCCCCUGUAAUAACAAGGAAAACAACUAAUUAGAUCCCAGUUGUACCUCAUGGGUCAAGCAGCUAAAUUUUCAAAAUACAUGGAGAAGCAAAAAUAAUCCAAAGUUGGGCAUCAAGGCCUACCAGUUAUGAGAGUCGAAGCUGUUGUUCCUAUUAUCCCCCAAGACAAAGACAUAACCUUCAGGAACAAGCUGCAUGUCCAACAGCGGAAACUAAUCAAUACAUCAUAAAAAUUGAUGGAAAACACCUAGCAUCUGCAGCAUUCUUACUAACAACACAGGCUCAUAUUUAAAAGCAUCAAAACAUUUGCAAUGGUUGGAAAACUAGACGUUAAGGGAUAAAUUGCGGUAUAAACUCUUAUAUCCAGAGCUACAUGAACAGGAGAAAGAAUAUUUCUAGAUAGCCCAGGCUUCAACAAUAUAUAUGUAUUAAAACCAAAUGCAAUCCCAAAUUAUACAGAGUAUGAAUAUGCCUAUAUGUCAGGUAUUUUAGUUGUUAUCUCCAAAAUUCGAGCAAUUUGAUUAACUCUUAACUAAUCAGGCAAAUUGUAAAUUAGCUAAAAAAUCAAACUAGAAUGAAGAUGACAUACCACUGGUUUCAUCUUGUAGUUAAGCGGCUCCAAUACGAAUUCUUCAUAUUGGAUAACACCGUUCACCAGCAAUUUACCAUCACAGACCUAUCAUGUCGGAUAACACACCAAAAAUUUACUUACAGUUUGAACACAAACAGCAACUUUACAGGAAAAUGCAACUGAAGAGUGUGAAAAGGCUUACUGAAAGAAUAAAAGCUUACUUCAACAUAGUCCCCAGCUUUGGCCACAACUCUUUUAAUGAAAACAUCACCUGAACUGUAACCCAGCUCCUGCGAAGAUGUGAGCGCAAGUCAGAUAUUAAGCAGGUUAUAGCAAAUAGCUCCACUCAGUGCUAUAAAUGGACAAUGUUUAACAGAAAAGAAUAUAUAAAUAAAAGAAUGAAUGACAUUAUACCUGAAGAACUGGAGGAGCCCUGAAAAUAACGAUGUCCGUGACCUCGGGCUCUCUGAAUAAAUAAGACACCUGCAGUUUUAGGAAAAACAGCAACAAAUCAGAUUAGUCAGAUGUAAAAUUAAGCACAAAAUUAAGAUCAAAGCAUAGAUACUCAUACUACAAUGCAACAGGGCAGAGAAAUUAAGCAGGAAAUCUUACCUUCUCUGCUAAUAUCCUGUCCCCAACAUCAAAUGUCGGGUACAUAGACCGAGAAGGGAUCGAUCUCGGCUCUGCCAUGCAUGAUCCAUACAGCAGCGGCACCGUCACCGCAGCAAAAACAGUCUUCGCAUCAUCCGAGCAAGAAUUCACCCACCGCGAGAGCCAGCCGUUCUUCUCGCUCGGCUUGCUCAUCUCAGCCACGCCACUCAUCAUUUUCGAACUCACCACCGUGCUCGAGCUCUCCUUAGCUUGGCACACAGGAGGAGCAACACUUUUCCCCCUGUCCCGGGGAACCGCAGAGGCUGUCCCUCCCUUAUCCACCAGGCUGCUUCCGGAAGACCCCGGAAGGAACUCACUGCAGGGGAACCACUUGCUCGCCUGCAAGAACGGGAGCAGCGACGAGGGCUUAAACCCUAGCGUAACCGAAGACGAGAUCCCCAUCGCUCCGACUCCAGCAGCUGACCCGGAGCCAGACACCAUGGCAGAGAGCAAUCCGGCGGCGAGCGUCGACCGAUCGCCCUUCGCGGACGGAUCUCCAGCGAUCGAGGCAAAGGAUCGUGAUGCCGAGCGAUCUGUAGAGAACAAAAUGGAGGAGGAGGACAACGAAGAAGAAGAGGAUCUGGACAACGCCUUCGCACGAUGUUCUCCGGCGAGCGCAAAGAACCCAGAGGCCGGAUUCUUCGACCAAUCGCGAGCCCUAGAUCGAUCGUCGUCCCGGCGAUCGGAGGGGCUGUGGUUGUCGGAUCGGAGGCCGGCGAAGAAGGCGAAGGGCCGGCCGGCAUCGUGGAAGAAGCGGCGAGGCUCUGGGCCAAGUAGCCGGAGUAGGAGAUGGUGAUCCGGAUCGCCAUAACCACGAGGUUGAGGCACCAGCGGAGGAUCGGAUGCAGCGAGGAAGACGAAGAACGCCGAGAGAACCGAGGGGAAGCCCCAGAGAUCACAGGUCGUAGGCCAUUUCCGCGGAGUUUCGCGCCAAAUCGGGAUCGGAAGCGGGAAAUUGAAGGGUUUCGCGGCGAUCUAGGGUUCCGGGGACGCCGAGAUAGAGAGGAUUAGCGUUCGCAGAGGAGGGGUGGAGCGAUUGAUGGAUUUAGGGCUAGGGUUUGGUGGGAGGGUUUCGAUCCUGAGCUUCUCUCGCGAGGAGAGAAGCUCAGAAGAACGGGAUGGCGAAGACAACGACAACGGAGAGAGGAUGGAAACAGAGAGGAAGUGGGAGGAGAGUAGGGUUUUAUUAGACUGAGAUUAUUUGAAUGCCACCGAAUUUACAGGUAUUUACAAUAUAACCAGCUGUGAUGAGUCGCUUAAUGGGUAUUUCGUUUAUUGUUUCUAAGUUGUAUUAUUUUUUUUAACUUUCUUUCCUUGUUUUUUUUUUUUUAGUUGUUUUAAUAAGUUCAACUAAUUCUCAAAAAGUGUUCAAUAAUCUAAAAAUUAAUUUUAAAAUAUAUAAUAAUUUAAUAAUUAUUAAGCUAGUGUGGUAGUUAUUAUUCAAAUUAUCAUUAAUAAAGUAAAAACUAAAUUUUUAUAUUUACUUUUUAUAAUAAAACGGAAGGCUUUGUUUUUUAGAUAAUGUAGUAGCUUAUGUGCUAUGGGACAAUUUAUAAUAAAAAAAUUUACGAAUAAUUUUGAUGAUAUGCUAAUAUUUCUAAAAAUAAUUAGCAAACUAGUUACAUUAAAUAAUUAAUUUAUAUAUUUUACUAAAAUUUAGCAUUUUAGAUUUUAAUAGUACAUACAAAAUUCAAUUUGAAAUUGCUAAAAAAUUACGCAAUAUAUAAUAAAAAAUAAGAUGAAAAAAGUAUUAUCACAUUUUGCAUGUUGUAAUAAAAAAGUUACACUAUAUUUUUCGUGAUGUUAAACAUCUACAUGCUUUUAUCUCGGCUACCUUUAGUCCAUUGGUAUUUUUGGUAAGCUACCAAAUAGACGAACUAUUCUCAUAACCGAGGGUUGUUUCCGUAAUUAGGAGCAUCUUCAAGGGCAAUUCUCUUUUCUCUGGUUCCUUCACUACUAAGCCGCCGUAGGUUGCUUCGUGGCAACCUCCGUUAGAAGGCGAACGUGGGCCGUACAAUGGAGACCGGUGACUCCAACUGUUGAGGAAGUUGACUAGGCCCAAUAAGAUCACUCCUUGGCCCAAAUAGGCUUUCCCCCUUUUUUUUUUCCAAUUAUUUGAAAAAGCUGUAAUUACGAAAAUCAGAUGACUAAUUUAAUAAAAAUUUACAAAUGUUUGGAAAAAUGGAAAUAUGUUGAAAUUGAUUUUUUUUUUUUUUUUUAACUUUUGUUUUCCAACCCAGUUAUGUUAGUCGUGGUGUUCACCUCUUAUGCUGGGUCAAAUUAGAAUAUGCAGAUAAUAAUAAGGGCUCCUUGGGUCGGUCCACCACGUGUCAGCAAUACUGCAAAUAAUUGGACGAGCGAUAUUGGUCCAAAGAUGACGUGGUGAACUCGGUCCAGGGAAUAGUUUAUCGUAACAGAGUGUUGGGCCGAGGUAACUCGGCCCAGUAGAUGAGGAAGAUCGUAGAAGCAGAGCGAAAACGCCGUUACGGUUAACGACAUUUGGACACGAGCGAUUUUGAUUGGUUGGGGCACUUUGAUGACGUUAGCGCUGACGAGACAGAGAAGAGUUGACUUGGUCAAACAAAUAUAAAAUAAUAAAAGUAAUAGGGGGUUUGUGGGUUUGACUAAUAAAAUAGCUUGAUUGAAUGUGAUACCAAAUUGGAGGAUUUUUUUUAAUUAAAAAAUAGCAAUGAUAAAUUUUAUAAAUUAUUUUUUUUAGUGGGUUAAAUGCUUAGGUCAUAAGAUUGAUUAUCUUAAUGCUUAAUUUGAUCAUGUGCUUCAACUACAUUUGGGAUGCAACUUUUACAUUCCUUUUCGGAAAAAAAAAAGGAAAAGGAAAUGUGUAAUAUUGUGGCAAAGGUUUACCAAUUUACAUCUUUUAUCUUCUCCAAUAAACAUAGCUAAAAUCGGUUUGAUGUAUCGUGAAACUAUAUAUGUGUAGAUGCAAAAAUUUAUCUUAUGAUCCUCUUUUAUCAUCGUAAUUAACCAUAAACAGAUGACAUUUAAUAAAUCAAUUGGAUCUAAUUCCUUUAAUCAUUCAUUCAUAAGAUAAGAUUGAAGAUUCAUUGUAUCUAGAUUGAAGAUUCUUUGUAUUUGAUCUGUGCAUAAAAAAUUUACAUAUGAUACUACCAUUAUCAGGUGUUUUUGACCAACUCCUUUCUCUUCCACGGAGGAGCAUCUAACAAUUCAAAGAUGAUUGGGUUUGCUGGAGAAUUAAAUGUCUAAACUGCUGGUCCCCUUACUUUUCAUCAUAAAUCUGCGAAAUUUGGCAGAUACUUUCCUCUAACCACUUUCUUCGGAGAUAGUUUUAUAUACAAUUAACAACGUCAAAGAAAAAGACAAUUAAAAAAAGUAAGAGACAACUUUGAACAGUACAUUAUACAACAACACACAUUUUACAGCAUAAUUCAACUUUCAGAAAUACUCGCACUUAUAGCUGCUACCGAUACUGUUCUAGAAAGAAAACCACGUUGCGAGGAACCUACAGCGCACACGCAAUUUAUGUACAAAAAUUUCACACAUUAAGCUCUUAUGAAACAACUUAAUAUGUUUCAUGAUCAGGCGCCGGCGUAUACCACGCAGGAUGGCGCCCUUUGCUUCUCAGUAGCCUGGUGAACGGAGAGUCGGGCAUGCGAGCCUUCUCUUCUUCUUCGAGCUCGUCUUUGGUUUUCGGUAGCCCGUCGGGUAUCGGAAAAGGUCUUUCCCUUUGUGCCUCUGAAGUCGACAAAGCUGGUUUUUGCGCUUCUUUCUCUUUCUUCUUUUGCAUUGCGGUGAUUCCAUGAAGACAAUCGAUUAGAGACUUUAUCCCGCCAGCUUGUCUGAUGAAUUUCUCAACGUCCUCUCUAGGCAGUUCUUUCUGCAUUUAACACCGAGAAUACCAAGAAUGAAGCCAUGGCAUUGAGGAGUUCAAAUUCGAUAACCUCUUUUAAGUGGUAAGGGGUUUUAUUUACAUGCAUACACCUACUGAAUCUCGAUUCCUUGCAGUUUCUUACAUAUACAUUUUAACCUAAGUUGGGGAGUAAGCCAAUACGUGGGGAAAGUUGGUUUUGCAUCAAAAUAAGGACAAUUAGAGUGGGGCAUUUCAUAAGCACGUUAUGUGUAAGAAUUGUUUUUUUAAGGGCGCACAUAAAAAUUCAAAAUUUGCAGGGUCUUACUAUAGUACAUCAAUAUGCAGGAUUAUACAUGUAAAUAUGUCCAAACUAUGCAUUUACAUGGUUCGCGUACAUUAAAGCAGGACGUGAAAAAAAAACAAAAAAUAUUACGUACUUGGAGAUCUUUAAGUGCAAAAUAGGCCCUCCAGCAGUUAUAGGAUUCGUCGCCCUCGAGUGUCGAGCAGUAAUCUGCAAAAGAAAGAAUCGAUAGUAUAAGUUGGUCGAUAAAUACUUUCAGAUAAACAGUGAAUCACAAUGUAAACCAUGCGGUAAGAAUGUUCGACUUUGACAUUUAAUUGGCCUUAAUGUUAAUAUAUCAUCAAAUUUAGCAUCUAUUUUCCAAGCAUUAGCUCUCGCGGAAAAAGCAGAGAGCCUAAAUAUUGGGAUUACUUGAGCAACUUAACUGAAAAAAAAAAUAAAAUAAAACUCCAGAAACUUCGGGUGUUUUCAACACAGAUGUAGAUCUCAUUGAAUGUUUCAAUUACAGGGCCUUUACAUUUCUCAGCUCUACAUUGGAACAAUUUGAUGCCCAUCUAUACAACAUAGUAUGCAUCCGCGCACAAAUGCAUGCAUCAAUAAGAGUGUUCUUUCGAGGAAUGGGGAUAUUGAACCAUUGAAUGAUCUACGAAACUAAUCAAAUAUCAUUAAUUUUAUCGUUUCAUAACACUCUUUUGGGAACUUUUGAUGAAAAUAAAUUGUGAAAAAAAAAAAUAUGGACUAUGCCAGUCUCAACAUUUAAGGGCUUUGGUGAGUUUAGAAGACAACUAAAUAAUUGAACAGAGAGAGCAUUCAAAAUCCUCCAUGUAAAUCACAUAAUAUUUAUAAUAAUGUCUCUAAGAUUAGAUUAAUCAGCCAAAUUAACAAACAAAAAUACAUCUUAAUCAACAAAUUCUUUCUUAUUUUCACAUCCAUAUCCAUCAUCAACUCAUUUUUCUACGAACCUAACGCCAAAUUAACAGAUCAAAUCCUUAAAAAACACAAAAAUUAGUACAAAAGAUGGGAGGAAAAAAAAAGAGAUCAGACCUGUGAGAUCGUUCUCGGUUUUUUGUAAGAAAGGGGGAUCCCUAAUCCCGCGAUCGAUGCGGCUUCUACUGAAGGGCUCGAGCUUGGGGAUGGAGCCACCGCUCCUCCCCUGGGCCCCGCAAACCACGCUCGACCACUUACGUCGCGACACGUCAACACCUCCGGCGGCGGCGGAGUAGUGCGACGAUGGAGUUGGGGAUCGGAGCACGAUCGAUCCGAGCAUUUCGCCUCUUCCUCUUCCUUCGAUCGAAACCCUAGGUUUCCUCUGUGGUGACACUACGACGACGACGACGACGACGACGAAGAAGAAGAAAAGGAGAGGGUUUCUAUAUACGGUUUUGGAUAAGAUCACAAAGAUAUUAAAUUCUACAAAAUUAUUAAAUUACUACAUUUAGAUAUUUAAGAUCUCGAAAGAGACCGAGCAUGUCUACUACGAGAAGGAACUCAUCAAGGACUUUCCACGUGGCGUAUAUAUGUUGGUGGGUUUUUUCGUGGGUACAAAUCUGUUUUGGUUCGUGAUAUAAAAACGAGGAGAACUUUGGGCGUUUUCACUACUAGUUUUCUAAGCGGUAGUGGAACCUCCCGAGUUAGCACAGCGUAUGGCCGCAUAAAAAUCUCUAUGAAAGAGCGGUGAUGGGACACGGUAGGGCGUAACGGACGGCUGGAUGGAUGGGUCGCAGAGAAAAUCUAUGGAUAUUCCAGAGGACUCGAAGAGUCUAGUAGUUUAGAUAUUUUUGUGAAUAGUAGAAAGAGUUGGGCUAAGGCCCAAUGGCCCCAAAUUUUUUGAUAUCUAAUUAAAUUGGGCUUUAAUUAGGUUCGAGUCAAACAUGUUUGCUACAAAAAUUUAAUUUUGGGCUAAACAGGCCCAAUAUUGGUAUCGAGAGUCGCAUGACGCUAUUAGGCCGAAAGAGAAUGAGUUGGGGAUGAUGUCUUAGCUUUUCGAUAGAACUGCAGAAAUCAUAUCAUAAGUUCGUAAUCAGACCGGUGUAAUCUGGACUCUGGAGAGAUGUGUUGUUAUUUACGAAAAUAAACAGCAUAUUUUUCACUCUUAUUUUCUCUUCGCACAUAAAGCUUUUUCGUUACUUAAUUGAUCACAUAUCACACUUGUGAACAUGGUAAUGGUGCAAUGAGAGAGCUUAUUCCAAUUUCAUUGUUUUUGAGCAUGAUGUAUACUAUUUUUUGUUCAUAAGUGUGAAACAAAUCACCCAUUCCCUUUCUUUUUGUUGUGCCAUAUCUAUCUAUUAUUAUUUUAAUUAACCUUCUAUUUGAUUCAAAGUAAGAGAAAUUAUGGGUAGGUUCUCAAUCUAUAGUGCACAUAAUAGUUUUUUUUAAGAUCUAGAAAUGCUUUUCUAGAGUGAGUGGGACUUUGUAGAGCACUCCACAUGUACAAAGCCAAAUAGAUAUGCUUUUGAGCACACAAAACAAUCCUCUUGAGAAGCCCAGCCAAGCCACUUUGUGUCUAAAAUAGACUAGGCAUUGGGCAAGUAGGCCACACCUUUUUAACUUAAUCUUUAUGUUAAUGCCCUAAUAAUACCAAGGUCCAAGAUCCUAAAGUUAUGAGAGUGAAAUGACAAAUCUACCCUUUCUCUUUUCCAUUAUUUUGUGCUACUGUGGAUACCUCAGAUAGUGAGUGAUUCAACUUUUCAAAUCUUAGAUGUAGCAGCACAUUUUAGAGUAUAUUUUGAGAUAUAUAUUAUAUAUAACUGCAUUGUAUAGAUGUGCCAGCCCAGAAGAUCACUGCAAAACUCGCUAAUGAAUUAUUUGCUCACCUUAUUAGUGUCCUUUUUAAUAUUAUUAUAGCAAAGCAAAGCUGUAGCUUAUGAGUUGUAUGACCCACCCAAUUAGAGAGUUGUCCAAUUAGGAAUCAACCUUUAUACACUAUAACCCCUUAUAGUGGUAUAUCAACACUUAUUAAAGAAAAAGAAUAGCAGGUGUGACACAAAGGGCUUUAAAAAAAACCAGAAAGAAGAGUGCCAAUGGGACUAGGACCCAAAGUGCUUUUAGAUGGGGUCUUAUCUCCACUUACAAAGAGCUAGAUCAUGCUUCUUUUUGAUUGAUUUGUAAAGCACUUUAUGUUUCCAAUAUGUACCUCCGACUCUGAUGUGCUUCGCAUUGCUUAUUUUGCAAAUUCCUAUCUGAAUAAAAUUGUUUGAAGAAGCAGUAACUAGUAAUUGUGAUUUAGUCAAAAUCGUAGAACAACCACUUAACCCAUAUACAAGAGCAGAAAUUUUGAUUUAAACUAAUGCUGUCAAUGGACACGAUAACCUUAAAACCAAUAACCGACUGUCCCUAGAGCAAGUGGCAAAGGACUUGAUGGUUGGUACUCGAAACCCAAGUUCGAAUCCUAGUUGAUUCACAUUUCCAGCGAAGUUUAUUUCUAAAUGAAAUAAACGAAGCGGGUAGCGUGCUACCUAAUCUCUCUCGAAAAAAAAAAAAAAACCCUUAAAACCAAUAUUUGAGAAUUCGAUCCAAAACAUAAUAAUUUCUUUUUGCUUAUUGCGCAUGACUCCGAAUACUCUACUGAUUGGAUUCAGAACUGACAUCUCUAACUAGAACUGCAACUAAACAAAGCCGUCCUCGAUUCGAUCGGACGAUCUCGAAGUAUGGUACACCCUUAAGAGUCAAAAGAGGGUGUUUUGGUCUCUUAUUUAAGAGGACAACAUAACUGGGAAACCCUAGAACUGGGUAUUGAGACCCUAACAAUAUAUGACUACUAAUAACACAUUAAUUAUAUUUAAUCCAAAUUCAACGCAUCAAACCAUACGCUUACGCCACCCUUUUUUUAGCUUAAAAAAUGAUGAGGCAUUAAAUAAAGUGUUUGUUCAUAGUAAAGCCACAAAGAAGAGCUCUACAAACUAUGAUCAAACACAUAAAAACAAACUUAAUUAAUUAAAACAUUUUAAAUUUAUUAAUGAAGCUCGAGAUUAAUAAAGGACUAGUAACCGAGAGAAAAAUACCCCUUAGUUUUUUUUUUUUUUUUUUUUUUUUUUUUUCUAAGAACAUGCUCUCAUUGGAGAUUCCCCAAAAAGCCCACCCAAUGCAUUAAUUCGUUGGUUUUUUUUUUGAAAUAGAGUGAGGCGUUGAGCAGGAAAAUGACCACUAGGGGUAGUUGUCCGAAUAUUAAAGCUUUGACAACUCCAUUUGUUGCACACUUGUCCACGCAAGAGGUGGUAUAUUUAAGAAGAGCAUCUUGAUUAAUUUUCGUGACUUAAGAUGAUGCAACAUUUUUUUAGCCCUAACAUUGAACCAUGUUCGCAAAUCACAGAUGAGGAUAAUUUUAUAAAUACCUGUAAUAUCCGAAAUUUUUUUUUUUCUGUAACUCUGCUAAGACACAACUUCUAGAACUUUUCGAUAUUUUGUAUUCGACUAUGAUCAUAUCAGCUAUUUAGCUAUAUAAAUUUUUACAUAUAAUUUACUAUGAAUAUUCUGCUAAAUAAUUUUAUGUUAGAUCGACUUGCUGUAUAUAUAACGCCUAUGUUUUGAGUCAAUUUUAGAAAAGUUAUGAAAACUUAGAGAUGUAUAAAACACCCAUUUUGGCAACACGGAAAGUUACACAUGAAAAUUUAGAAUUUCUAAAACAAUUUUUUUUUCCUCUUACAACAUGGAUAAGCUCAUGAAGAUGCCAUGGAUUAAAAUAUAUGUAGUAGGUGUGCAUGGUAAUAAAAUGUAUCUAAGUUUUGACCACAAUAAAUUAACUCUUUCUAUAUUACCAUCCAAGAUCAUAUGCUUCUAUUAGAAGAUCUCCAUGCUCACUCGUUACUACUUAACAAGUACUAAAACCAUGAUUUGACUAAUCGAAAAUUGCGUAAUAGAUUGUUUAUGUUCUCUUGUUUGUAGAGAUAAGAAUAUAAAACAAAAGGAAUCUUUAACUAAUUAAUUAAUCUGCAGCUAACAUCUAACCCUAAUACCCUAUAUAUAGUAUUAAUUGUUCUCAUUUUUAAGCCAAAAAAAAAUACUUCGAAGUAUAUAAUAAUUAGAAUGCAGUGGUUUAAUUGAAGAGGAUGAGAAUAAAGUAGGUACUAAUUCUUUUUCUUAAUUAUGUUGUUAUUUGAGGAUUGGAAUGCACUAACACAUUGUCAAAACAGGAUGAAAUUGAAUUAAAAGAAUUUGAUGAAACUAAAAAAAUUAAACAAAAUCAAAUUAAAACAAACCUACAUUAAAAAGAUGUAUCCAAUAUGGGAUUAUAUUCUCGACAACGGAGAAGCUACGCAUCGAUGGCCAUCAAAAUUUUAUUUUGGUGAUGUUUCUACGGUAAUGUUACUACCACCAUGCAUUUUAAUUAAAGUGAAAUUUUCGUAAAUUAUUUACUUUUUAAUUUUUUUUUUUAAAAAAAAUUGAUGUGAUUGGACAACUUAUUUUCAAAUUACACCUAGGAUUUGGUAGUAUGUGGCGAGUUAAGGUCCAUCCAAACUUUUGUCACGGGUUUGGAAAAGCUUUAUCUGUAGAACUUAACUAAUAAACGUGUUAUUUAUAAACAAAUACAUCCAAAAUAGCAUGCGCUGACCUUUUUUUAAAAAAAAAAAAAAAAAAAAAUCUUCUCCCAAGUCCUAGUUAAUGCGGGAAAAAAAGACAAAAAAAAAAUCUCAACAUAUUCUUCAAAAGAGUCAAAAAUACCGAUAAUACCAACAUAUUUAUUAUCCUUCAAUGUUCUCCUUUAAUUUAAGUUAUUAUAUAUUAAGUUUUACUGAAUAAAACCAAACACCAUCCUAAUACUAUUUGCUAUUUUGCUUAUUACUGUAAUUAACUUACAUUUGAGACAUAGUUGCAUCUAAUUUAGUAGUGAUUUUGACCUAAUCUACUUCUCAGGCACCGACUUAUGGCAAAACUAUUAAUUAGUGUUGUCAAAACAAUGAUUUUUAUUGCUUCGGCGAUAACGAUUUUUAUCAAUAAUUGAGAUACAAUAUUUUUUUUCGAGAAAUAGGUAGCUAGCUACCUGCUUCAUUCAUUAGGUAAAAUGAACUAAGCGUACAAUUUGGAAGCAGCCAGGGCCUCCCAAAAAAACAGGCAAGGAGCGAAAAACAAAACAAAACAAAAGAGAGAAAGGAGGGGUGUUAAUAAGGAGAGUAGGGAUAGGAGCUGAAGCCCAGUUGGCACAUCACCGAAAAGAGUUCCAGUCGUUUAGCAAAAGUUUGACACGUUCCAGAGACCGGGUAGCGUUGUGCGUGCUUCCUCGAAAGAUGACGUUGUUUCUAUCUGUCCAGAUCACCCACCAAGUCGCGGCCAAGAGGGACAGGCCUUGUGUCCUCGAAGAGUGAACCGGGAAUUGAGAUACAAUAUUAUUAAAGGAAGAGCUAUAUAUGAAGUGUUAUAGAGCCAGUGUUUUGCUGGGGAAAGUUGCUACAUAAGUGUUGCUAAGUAGAGAUUGUUCCGAUUAACACCAAAAUUUUUUUCAUUAGAGUUUUUAGUAGUUUCUCUCUCUUAUUUAUAGGGUUAAAAAAAUAUUUUAAACUAUCAUCAUAGCAAAAGUUACUAUUGUGCGUAGAUUUUGAGCUCAAAUUUGUACUUAGACAUAACUUUAUAUUGAGGUUAACAUAUGCAAUUUGCUAUCUUUUUUGUACAAACUAGAAGAACCACUCAUUGGGUUUGUUGUUCCACUAAUUUUUCCUGAAAUGUUCACUAAUUCCUUGGGGAAUUUUAUUGAAUUCAAUGCUCUUUAAUAUGUUAAAAUACAUCAAUCCCUUUGCAAACUCAGAAAAUUCCAAACGUGGUCAAUAACAACAGCACAUUAUUAGUUGGUCUCUGACUAUAUGUUAGAUUCAAUCAUGCAACUUCACUUUCAAAUAAUAAAAAAGAUUGCUCAUUCUCAAAGAAAUUUGGGGUUUCCUCUACGCGUGAAAUCAUAUUUCUUAGCACUAAAACAAAGAUACGAAAGAUACAACAAUAUCAAUGCAGUCGUGUUCAGCCAUUACCCUUGCAAGUGAUUAUGAUCUGACUUUUCCAAAGUUAAGGAUUCGAGUUUUACCGAUAGAGGUACGCUCACAAGAACGAAACAAUAAUCGUGCAAUCUACAAUUGUUUUGGUUUAGAGGCGCCGGUUUCGAAUUGGAGUUAUAUUUGGAUUUGCAUUAUCAGAUCGUGUUUGGAAGAAGCAUAAUUUCAAAAAGGACUAAAUGGGCAUUGACUUUGGGCCAAAAGCCAACCUGGGAAGAGGCCCACCAAAGACAAUAUCACGAACCCACCCAAGUACUUGUACAUGGGAGGGUGACGUGGCAAGCAGGGAGUGGUUUACAGUAUACACAUACACACACAAAACAAAUAAAAUAAAAUUUAAAAAAAAAGAAAGAGAAAAAUGCUGCUUAUAUAUAGAGCAACUUCUUAUAUAGGUCCUUUACUAAGCUUAUAAUCUCUGAGUAGUCCUUUUCCUCGUUGUACCAUUUUGGCCUUUAUUUGCUCAGAAACAAGAGUACCUUUUCAAUGAAGGAGAGUGGACACAAUAUAAUAAUAUACCUGUACAAAAUUCCAAGAUUGCAUAUUUAAUUUUGUAAAAUUAUUAUUAGCAACAAAUAUUUUCCCAAAUUCUUUCAAAAUCUCUCUCUCUCUUGGGUUUACUUGCUGUAUAAUUUAAAGGAAAUUUACUCUUAAAAAAAAAAGUAUUAUUAGAAUUUGUUUACAUUAUCUGUUAUCUGUGAAUAAAAAUUUAUCAUAUUUUUUUACAAGAAGAAAAUAUAUUAGAAGUUUAAAGAAUAAUUAUAACACUGAUGUUUAGAAAGCGUUUGGCCAGGGACAAAACUAGGAUUCAAUCUUGAGGGGGGCCAAAAUAUAUUUAAAUAGAAACUUUAGUAAUAAAUAAUAAACAAAAUUUUUUCUAAUUAAAAAUUUUUUAUUAAAAAAUUAUUAAUUAAAUAAAUAAUGUAAAAGCAUGAACUUUAUGUUUUUUAUUUUCAUAUGUUUAACUUCUAACUAUUUUUUUUAUAUUAUUACAUUAAAAUAACUUAGAAAUUUUACUAAAUCUAACAGUAAUUUCUUAGUUUUUUAGUAAAUAAAAUUAACAUAGCUAUAAAAUUUAGUGCAAUUAUUGAUUUAGUCAAAUAAAAAACAUAAAGUUCAUACUUUUNAAAUAAAAAUUUUAAAAAAUUAUUAAAUAAAAUUUUUAGAGUAGAAAAAUAUAUUAUAUAAUACUCUAUAAGUAAGAAGCUUUUAAUAUAUUUUCAUCCAUAAAAAGAGUAUACCGAUUAGGAUAAAGAGUGAGAGAGUUAUAUUGGUACCAUAAUAUUAAGUAAAUAUUGAAAAGUUAGGGGGGCCAAAACUAUCCAUAUUUCAAAAAAAAAAAAGGGAAAACUUCAAAAAACCCCCUUGUGGUUUUAAUUUUUUUCACUUUAGUACCCUGUGGUUUAAAAUGUAUCAAGUUAGUACCUUGUGGUUUCUCACUUUAUCACUUUAGUACCCUGUGGUUUAAAGUGUAUCAAGUUAGUACCCUGUGGUUUUGCAUUUUAUCACUUUAGUACUCUGUGGUUUUGAUUUUGUAUCAAAUUAGUACCCUGUGGUUUUUUAAACUAUAGGGUACUAAAGUGAUAAAGUGUGAAACUACAGGGUACUAAAGUGAUAAAGUACAAAACCACAUGGUACUAAAUUGAUACACUUUAAACCAUAGGGUAUUAAAGUGAUAAAGUAAGAAACCACAGGGUACUAACUUGAUACACUUUAAACCACAGGGUACUAAAAUGAAAAAGUGUGAAACCACAGAGGGGGUUUUUGAAGUUUUCUCAAAAAAAAACUUUGAAUAACCAUUAAACAAAUAUUGAAAAGUUGAGGGGGGUCAUGGCCACCUUGGGCCUCUAUUUGCUGCGUUUGGUUGUUAAUUUGAAAAAUAUUUUUUUUGCUUAAAUGAUAUAUUUUUAUCCGUUUGAUUUUUAAAACAGUAAUUUUUUAAUUUUUUUAAAAAAUUUUAUAUAAAAUAAUGUUUAUGAAAUUAAUUUUUCCUAAUUUACGGAAAAACCAAACAGCCUUUCAUUUCAUUAGAGUGCUAAAAAAAAAAAAAGUUUCUCAAAAGUGGAGAAAUAAAUAUGUAGUCUAAACCAGAAAUUAUCAGAAAGUUGGGUGCUUACAUGAAAUUUCCCAAAGAAAUGUCUCUCUCCAUAAGAAGUCAAUGCUCCAGGGUUUGUUAUAGUAUUAAAAGUAAUCAUGAGAAAAAAUUGAUCAAAAUAGCUUUUGUUUAUUUUAUUAAUUUUAUAAAAUAUAUAUAUAUAUUUUUAUAUAUUUACUUUUUGUGACUGUUGAGUUAAAGUUGAGAGGUGAGAAAGGUGGGGACUUUGUUGUGGGAAUAGUAGAGCUCUGCAGAGGGGCAGGAGCAAAUAAUGAAUGCAUCCUUGUAUGGAUUGACCCCUCCCCAAACCCACCCCCCCAAUUGGAGUUAAUGGAUCUGAUGGGUAAUAUGGCCUGGCCCUGCUUUUAAUUCUCUGCAGAAGAGGUUGGUGGUAGCAGCAGCAGCAGCAGCAGAGACCCAACCACAACACACACACANGAGAGAGAGAGAGAGAGAGAGAGAGGGAGAGAGGGGGGGAGGUGGAAAUUGUUCAUUUUGAUGGGAUUUGGGGAUCUGGGGUUUUGUUUGUGAGGAGGGGAAAGAUCUUUGUUUUUUGUUUUUUGUUUUUUUACAUUUUUUUUUUUUGGUGUUUAAACUGUUUUAGCAUCUUGGUUGUGUUUAGAUUUGGUGUUUUAUUUUGAUUUGGUGAGGGGAAGGAAAGAAAAAAGAGAGAGAGAGAGAGAGAGAGAAGAAAAAGUGUGUUCAAAUCCUUCUUUUUAAAAAAAAAAAAAAUUUUGGGCUCUUUUUCUCUUUAAUUUGAGCAUCUUAAAGGUGCCAUCUUUGUUUCUCUUUGUUGAGGAUCUGAAGUUGAUUUUAGAUUUUGAAUCCACUUUUUUUUUUCCCUUUUUUUUUUUUUUUUUUUUUUUUUUUUUUUUUGGGUUCUCGUCGCCUCUCCUCUCCUACCCAAAAGUAAAAGCCCUUACUUUCAUGUCAAAAAAGCUCGGGAAUGUCGUUGAAUCCCUAGGGUUUAACCCCUCAAAUCCAAAUCCCAUCUCCUCCGCCUCCUCCCAAUUUUUGAUUUGAUCUCGAAAUCGAGGCCCUUCCCUUCGCCCUCCUCCGGAUUUUCUAGGGUUUUGAUCUGAAUCGGAUGGUCCUUUGCUAGGGCUAGGGCUAGGGCUUCAUGCAUCUUUCUCUAUGGAAGCCCAUAUCCCACUGCGCCGCCCUGAUCCUGGAGAAGAAGAACCGGUGGCGCAGCAGCGGCAGCGGCGGCGGCGGCGGCGGAGGAUCGCCGGAGGAUGGCGGCGGCGGAGGCGGCGGCGGCGGUGCCUCCGCCGGGAAGCGGCGGGCUCCGGCGCCGUCGUUCCUGCGCCAGCUCCAGGAGUCGAAGCUCCGGGAAGCCCUAGAGGAAGCUUCCGAGGACGGGUCCUUGUUCAAGUCCCAGGACGCCGACCUCAGCGCCGAGGAGAUCUCCGGCUCGAUCGGGCGGUCGCGGUCGCUCGCGCGCCUCCACGCCCAGAAGGAGUUCCUCCGCGCCACCGCCCUCGCCGCGGAGCGCGUGUUCCGCUCCCCGGAGAACGUCCCCGUCCUCGAGGAGGCCUUCUCCAAGUUCCUCACCAUGUACCCCAAGUACCAAUCCUCCACCGAGGUCGACAACCUCCGGUCCCGCGAGUAUUCCCAUCUCGCCGACGACGGCUCCAAGGUAUGCCUCGAUUACUGCGGCUUCGGCCUCUUCUCCCACCUUCAAACGUUCCAAAACUGGGAGUCCUCGGCCUUUAGCCUCUCGGAGAUUACCGCGAAUUUGAGCAACCACGCUUUGUACGGCGGUGCCGAGAAGGACACCGCCGAGCACGAUAUCAAGGCUCGGAUAAUGGAUUAUUUGAACAUCCCCGAGAACGAAUACGGUUUAGUAUUUACUGUUAGCAGAGGCUCUGCAUUCAAAUUGUUAGCCGAAUACUACCCCUUUCAUACCAACAAGAAGCUCUUGACAAUGUUCGAUCACGAAAGCCAAUCGGUGAAUUGGAUGGCCCAGCGCGCGAAAGAGAAAGGGGCGAAGGUCUAUAGCGCGUGGUUCAAGUGGCCGACGCUCAAGCUCUGCUCGACUGAACUGAGGAAGCUGAUCUCGAGCAAGAAGAGGAGAAAGAAGGAUUCCGCCGUCGGGUUAUUUGUGUUUCCCGUUCAGUCGAGAGUGACGGGGGCGAAGUAUUCUUAUCAGUGGAUGGCUUUGGCCCAGCAGAACAAUUGGCACGUAUUGCUCGAUGCGGGAUCUUUGGGCCCUAAGGACAUGGACUCGCUAGGGCUCUCGCUUUUCCGGCCGGAUUUUAUAAUCACUUCGUUCUACAGAGUGUUCGGAUCCGACCCAACUGGUUUCGGCUGCCUUCUGAUUAAGAAGUCGGUGAUGGGGAGUUUACAGAGCCAGAAUGGGAGUACUGGGUCUGGCAUGGUCCGGAUCGUUCCGGUGUUUCCUCAGUAUUUAAGUGAUUCUAUGGAUGGGCUGGAUGUAAUCGAUGGGCUUGAGGAUGAUAACAUAGUUGGAAACGAAGAGAGUUCGAGGUCUAACACACACAAGGAAUCCCAGCUGCCGGCCUUUUCAGGUGCAUUUACAUCUGCUCAAGUGCAAGACGUAUUUGAAAGCGAGAUCGAUCACGAGAAUAGUUCUGAUAGGGAUGGCGCGAGUACCAUAUAUGAAGAGAAUGAGAGCAUUUCUCUCGGAGAAGUCAUGAAGAGCCCAGUUUUCAGCGAGGAUGAGUCGUCCGAGAGUUCUUUCUGGAUUGACUUGGGUCAGAGCCCGUUAUUUGGGACCGACAAUUCGGGCCAGCUGAACAAAGGUAAGUUGUUGGGAUCUCCAUUACCGCCUUCAUGGUUUACGGGAAGGAAAAAUCAUAAGAAGGUAUCGCCAAAAGGGAAGAUAUCAAAGAGCCCAAUUUAUGAUGAACGCGUUCUCUCUUUCGACGCGGCUGUGUUAUCGGUCUCGCAAGAGCUAGACCGUGUUAAAGAAGUACCCGAAGAAGAGAAUGCAAGUAAUUCUUGGAGAGAGAGUGAGAUUCAAGAAGAGCCUGUAGUUAAAGAACCAACAAGUGUUCGUACAGUGAAGUUCACUUCGACCAACGGGCUUCGAAGUAUUAAUGAGAAUGGUUCCGCUUCAGAAAUUUGCGUGGAAAGCCAAACUGAUGCGAAGGAAAGUGCGAUAAGAAGGGAAACAGAAGGGGAAUUCCGUCUAUUGGGCAGGAGAGAAGGAAAUAAUAACAGAUUUGCGGGGGGUAGAUUCUUUGGUGUGGAAGACAAUGAGGGGGCUUCAAGCAUGGGCCGAAGGGUAUCAUUUGGUGUGGAAUAUCAUAAUUCCGAUGCUGGCGAACCCUCUGGGCAUGCGGCUAGCCAUGAUUAUGAUGAUGAUGAUGAUGAUGAUACUAUGAUGGAGGAUGAUGAUGGUGCUGUAGAAUGGAAAAGACGAGAGCCUGAAAUACUAUGUAGACAUCUCGACCAUGUGAACUCAAUGGGUCUUAACAAAACCACAUUAAGGCUGAGGUAUUUGAUCAAUUGGUUAGUGACUUCCCUGCUUCAACUUCGUCUACCUGAUUUAGGAAAUGACAGUGAUGUGUCUCUUGUUGAGAUUUAUGGCCCAAAGAUUAAGUAUGAAAGGGGGGCAGCUGUGGCUUUUAAUGUGAAGGAUAGCGGCGGAAAGUUAGUUAACCCAGAAGUAGUUCAAAAAAUGGCUGAGAAAAAUGGUAUUUCUCUAGGCAUUGGCUUUCUUAGUCACAUAAGGGUCAUGGAUAACCAGAAACAAUUGCAUGGGGCGGUCGAUUUGAACGAUGCAUCCUUCUGUAAGCCUACAUCGACAAAUCGGCACGAUAGUAAAAAUGCUACAAUAAAAGUGGAGGUUGUUACCGCUUCACUUGGGUUUUUAACAAACUUUGAAGAUGUGUACAAAAUGUGGGCUUUUGUUGCGAAGUUUCUAGAUCCUUCUUUUCUCGAUAGUGAAAGAUUAUCCUCAGUUGCCGAGUCUUCAGAAUUGUAGCAGAUUGGAAAAUUUUGCCUUUAGCUGUUAAUGGUGGCGAUGGUUUCAGAGGGAGAUGCAGAAGGAAGAAGCAGAGUGGAAGUUAUGUGUCUUUUGCCUGUUUCUUUUGCAUCUUCGUCUCUUCUGCUUGUGAAAAGGACGGACGAUGGCUUGUGAUCUUUGGCAGGUGAAUUUAUUUAUUCUUGGCCUCUGUAGAGUUUGUUUAAGAUAUAUGUACCAGCUGAGUUACUCGCGGAGCUUCUUUUUCUACUGAAUAUUUGUAAAGCAGCUCUUUGCGCAAGAUCUAGUCUCGCUAGCUUGUAUGAUUUUGGAUAGCAAGGUGAUGAAGCAAUUUUUACCUUUCCUCAUUUAUGUUGUCCUGAAUUUGCAUUUGUGUUUAAUCAGAUUGCUCAAAUUUAAUGCUUAUUAUCAUAAAGCUUCCAAUCUUCCUUCCUGUAAAGUUUAAUCGAAUUUGUUCUCGCAUAAGCCUUUGAAGUUCACACACCAUGUUGGCAGUGCAGUUUACCUGUUGGAUUGCUUUUGUCUUAAUCAGUAGGACAAAUCUUUUUUGUAUACAAGUUAGGCUGCUGAAUCUAGAAAAGUAGGCUUUUGAUUGUUACUUUCUACUAUAGUUGUUCAAAAUGCGGUUAGGUUGGAAGCUGACUCUGAAUGCAUUUUGUUCAAUUUGUCGUGAGGCGAUGUUGAAAGAUCCCAUAGUUGUUUGCACAUUCUUUUCUUUUGGUUGGUAAUUGGUAUUCGACUGUGAAGUGGUCAACUGAUGAUAACUGUUUAGUGUAUUUUAUAUCUGUCAAAAGAAAUGAAAAGAGUCUUAAAUGGAGCCUAAAAAUAGGCUAUGCUUUAGUAUGAGUCGACUAAUUUUAGUAUCUUGUUAUUAAGGUCAUUUGGAUUAUUUUCAUCUCUUUGGCUUUAAUUUCCCAUACCCUUCCACAAUUUAGGUGUUUUUUGUUUUUUUUUUAUCUGUGAUUUAGCUAUCAUUAUCGGCAAAACUUUGGGAAUUUGAAUUUUGGUGCAUUAUCAUAUCGCUUUAUAUAUCAUAAUGAAUAUCUUUCUACAAAUAAAGGUUCAAACAAGCUACAGUUUAACAUGGCCUUGGGAGACAUCAUAAUUUCUUGCACUCUUUUUCCAUAUUUGCUGAUAGUGCUGGCAAACGAGCGAGCCGGCUAGAUAAGUAUUUCUCGGCUCGCUACAUAAGUAUAUAAAUAUAUAUUUUUAGCUAUAUAUAGGCUGAGUAAGUAAUUUAAGUUUAGUUAAAAUUGGACUAAUAUUGUUAGCUUAUAAAAAUAAACUCAAUAUGCCAACAAAAAGGCGAAAUUUUAUUAAAUUUACACUCUCCUUCUCUUUCUUUCACAUAGUCGUAAAUUCCUAAUCUCUCUCUCUCUCUCUCCAUGCGGCCAAACCUGAAGCCCUUUAAGUUACCAAGUAACAUCACGCAUCCGCCGUUACCUAUUUUACUAUUAGUUGUGUGCUUGAAAAAAUAUCUAGAAUACCUUUAAAGUAAAAAAUAAUUGUUUACACACAAUUUUGAUUUUAGUUAUAUAUAAUUGGAUAGUUUAAUCUAAUAUUUUUUUAUAUAAUUUAUUUAAUUUUUAACCGCAUAGAUGAAAAAUAAUAAUAUAAAAAUUGAAGGCGGAAGAAAAGACAUGUAAGACUGAAAAGAUUAGAUACUCAACUCAUAAAUUAUUUUUCUUCAUAUUAUUAUACCGUAUUUUAUAUAAUUAUUUUGUAUUUUGAACUAUUAGAUAUAUUUUUUGUAUCAAAUUAUAAAUAAUGCUCUGUACAAAUUAAACUAUUGCUUAUUCAGUGUUGAGAAUUUCAAGCAGCUCGUUUAGAGUUCGAGCUUGCUCGAUUCGAAAUUAGGUUCGCUCGAACUCAGCUCAAAUUAAUUUUAAGCUUGAAAUUAAUUUCAAGUCGAAUAUAAAUUGAGCUCGUCUUGUUUCCACCCCUAUUUGCUGAUCCUAUCUUUGAAUUGGACAGGUGUCAACAGUUUUUCAGCAAGAUAGCAUCUGAUUCAGAAAUCAGAUACGUAGGUAUUAUUUUAUAAAGUUCUUAUGUACACACAGGGUUUCAAUGAAACCAUUCAUUCUGAUGUGAAUGAAUUAUUACUGGUCAUAUCACUUUUCAUUAGUCAACCAAAUUUUCCAAACUUCAAUCAAAUUUUAGACUUCUCAACCUCUGUGAAACAUGUCUAUCACAUGCAUGAGAAACUCAGAAUGUAAACUAGUAUGAUUCUUUCUCUCCGUCUUUUUCUCUCCUUUCUUUUCUUCCAAGAGGAUUCCUCUGAUGUUUGGUGUAAUACUAAUCAACUACAGUGUUCUGUUGACAAAGGGGGGACAUUUUGGCUGUUCCUACUCAUACCACUCUGGGGACCAUAUAAAAAAAAGUAAGCAUUUAUUUGCUGGUUGUUGACAAUUUAGUGGAGCAGCAACGUAACAUUUGAAGCAUUGGCUAGAGAAAAAGUAAGGUACCAAGAUCACCCAGCAGUUGCAUCAUUGUAACAUUGACAUAUCACCAACUAUAUAGACUCAAAAGAUAAGAAAAAAGAAAAUAUCUCUCCAUUGGAUGAUCUUCUAAAGCAAAUAUUUAUCAUACCAACGACCAUUGAGCUCAGAUUCUGAAAUGGGAUUAGGUAAAAGAAUAAUAAAUAAGCGCCAUUUGACUUAAGAGCAAAUGAAGCACUAGUAAAAGUUUUUCGUUAAAAUAUUUUCAACAGCUUGUAACUGAAGCUAAAGCAGAAGCACGCUCCAAACCUGCUAUUUGCCAAAUACCUAAUUUCUGAAAGCCUAGAUGCCAAGCCAAAUAGGGCAGUGGAGAAGCAACAAUUUUAUUUUGUAGUAAAAAAGGAAAAGGAAGCAACAUAUAGUAAAGGAAAUUUGUCUCUCUUAUUCUUAUUUGAUAGAUAGGUUUGAAUGUGAUAUAAUACAAAAAAGAGGUUCUUGUGAGCUUUGCUUUCACUUUCCACUGCUUAGAGAUGUUGCCUGAAAUAGAUGUUAUCACUUCAGAACCCUUCAAAAUAUCUCCAGGUACUCAGCAUACAAGAGUAAGGUGAAAUAGCAACUUAGAUUGGCUCAUGUACCAAUAAUUGAGCCACAUUAAAACAGCUUCUAACCAAUCCGUGACCAAGAAGCGGCCACCUCAUCCUCUAACCGAAGUCCGCGCCUCGAGUGAACGAGAAUAGUCAUACAUGUCUGUGUCGUCUCUUUUCGUUUUGCGAGUGUCGACCAUAAGAAAAUUUCAUAGAUUUCAUAGGAGUUUAUGAAUCUUCGACCAUUUUGAUCAGGAAAGCGGUUUCCAGAGCUAGCUCUUUCGACUGCAAAUACUUGCUCUCCUCCACUAUGUCGGUGGUUAAGUUGAGUAUUAUCGGACGUUUUGGGUCGUACACGGUUAGCUCACGUACUCUCGCAACCCAUUUAGCUGCUUCCCAUACACCAAACCUAACAAUUUCAUAUGCAAGUGCAAAUUAUAGCUUCUGCAAUUUUGAUAGCAAAAAUUUCGCAGGCAAAAGCAAUAUAAACUGCCUAAUACACAUUGAAAUUUAGUAAUUUACUGUUAAGAAAAUCCACUACUAUUUUCCUGCAUGUUAAGAUAUUACAAGGUACUAAAGAGCCUGCCCUUCUAGUAGCUGUAGGGAAGAAUUGAAUAUUCGGUUGAUCUCCAACUAAGUUUCACUUGUUUUAGGGAAGAAACAUAUGAGAGAUAAACGAACACUUUGAGUGGUACAAAGCAGUAAGUAAAUUAUGAAAUAAAUGCAACUAAGCGCUUGGGGGGGGUGGGGGNNNNNNNNNNNNNAAUGCAAAACACACCUUGUAUUAAAAGAUGACGUCACCAACACGGCUGGAUAAGGAACGCCCUUUUGAAUGUUAUCGUAAGGAGAGUAUUUCUUGAUAGCGAGAAAAUCUUCGAGGUCCACAGGAUAACCAAACUCUUCAUAAUCAACAGGUGUAAGGGGUAAAAUGGGGUGAAGAAGAGUAUUGCAUACAUCCAAAAAGGGAACCUGGAAGGAGAAAUGACAGGAUAUAGGUAUGACAAGUGACAACCGAAUAGAAGUUAUGAAUAAAACGGAUUCUUGAAUCACAACUGUUAUGGUGGUUAGUUGAAAGGAUCCUAUUCCUCCAUUCAGCUCUGUUUCAGAUAUAAAUGUUCUUGUCAAAAUGCUGCGAUCACAACCAUAAAGCAUUGACAAACUUAACAAAUUCAAAAUCUAUAUAACUUGUUAAAUUCUAGGUAAAGUUACACCAAGAGAAUCAUAACAGUUGACUAGAUAUACGAAUCUUCCUAACUUAUUCUAUUGAUUCUACUAGCUAGGAACACAUCUAUAUAACUUUGUUUUGAUGCGCUCUUACAUGUAGUUAAAUAUAUUCACAGUUUCAUGAAAAUAUGUACAGGUGAUUGCAACAAGGAAACAGCAUAGUUCUAGUAAAAUGAAUCCAGGCAAUACAAUAAACCAGCAAAACUUGACAUGCAAAGUGAGUAAUUACUUCUUCACAAGUGAUCGUAAAAUAAUACGAGGGAAACAAGUUGAUUAGUGCAGAGCUGUAAAAGGAAAAAAAAAAAGUACCUUCAAAAUAGCUGCUCGAAAUAAAUCCGGCUUAGUGUUAAUAGCUGAAGCAACCAGAAGUCCUCCAGCACUAUAUCCCCACCCAGCAAGCUUGUUUUCAUGCACCAUACCUUUCUCAACUAGAAACUCGGCACAUGAAACAUAAUCAUUUAUUGAAUUCAGCUUCUUGGUACGUCUGCCAUCAUGAUGCCACUUCUUACCGCUACCUCCACCACCCCUGUAACCACAUAUUUCAAUUAAUAAAAUUGAGACAAGAGCAACUAUUUAAUAUAUAAGAUAAGGUGUUUUUGUAAGGCAUUUUACUUUUGAUGGGUAUAGAUGAAAUUUAAGUUUUUACAAGGUUAUAUAUGUAAAUCUCCUUGUACUAUUAACAUCAUGCAGUCAAUAUAAACUAUCAAAGGCUUUUCUGGCCAUGAUGAGUACACUAUACAGAAGUUGAUUUGAUCUAAUCAAACAGACCUAACAUCAGCAUACGCAAUGACCCAACCACGAUCGAGAAGGCUCUUUAACUCACUACGCCAACUUUUAUCCAACAGCUCUCCGUAAGCACCAUGGCCAUGAAGUAAUCCAGGACUUCCCUCCUGCUUGUGCUUCUUCGAGUAUACAACAGUCAAUGGAACCAAAACUUCAUUCAUCGAAGCAACAUCAUAAUACUCACAAGCAUAGUACUCGGCGAGCUCAUUCCAACUAUCCGCCACAUUAUCUUCGCUUGAGGCAACAGAGCUCUUACUAUUGGCAGCAAAAGCAUUCCCAUAUAAAGUUCUUGUUCUUUCAUGAAGCAUAUUUUGCUGUUGCACUAUGAGCCACUUCCCAUUCAAUAAGUUGUAGUCCACAACAGCAUCAGGCAUCUGCCAACAUAAUGAAUAUGACAAAGAAAGGAAAAAAAAUAAAAGUUAAAAAAGUGUAUUCUCCGAAAUGCACUCGAAAUGUGCUUCAUAUCUAAGCAAUAUGACUCAAUAACAAUUAUGAGGUAACAUAAAAAGAAAUGGCUGCACUCAAUUAACUAGGAAGCCAAAAAUAAACAACCUAACUUAGCAGAACUGAAUCACAUACCACAGGUGAUGAUAUCAUAAAUCGCAUAGUUGAGGAAUAGUAGUCAUAAUUUGGACCGGGUGAGAUCUGGCAAACGUGAUCCGGAAGAGGCAAGUCACAUGGACUAAGAGCUGAUAAACGAGCAGGUACCUGCAAUGAUAACCAGAGGACUUAUAAUAAUGCUCAAAACUAAUGCCUUGUGAUGCAUACCCAUAAGGGAAAUAGUAGAAUAAGGUACAGAAGAAAAAAAUUAAAUAAAGAAUGAGUUAAAGAGCAUAAAUAUGUAACAGUAAAAACAGGGAACUUGAUUUUGACAGAAGUCUGUUUUUAACUUGUUAGCUUUACACAAAAUAUGAUAAAAUGUCUGCAAGAUAUAUUUGUUUUAAGAUGAUUCUACAGAAAUAACAGGACAACUCCAAACAAUGUCUUUUCACAUUUGAUGUAGACAAUACAUUUCACUUAUUCCACCGAGAAAAAAUAAAACUUUGUACAUAAUUAACUGACUUUUGUACAGCCAAUGAUUUCCAUCAAUGCCAUAUAGAAUUUUAUAUAGAACAUUCAGACAGUAUGUAUGAUUUGUUUGUGCUUUUAUCUGCCCUGUAAAAUUGAUAAACCAAAAGUCAAAAGUUACCUUUACAUCCAUUGGCAAAGGUAGCCUAACUGAAGAUAAUCUCAACCUUUUCCCUUCUCGAAGAACAAGCACCAUAUGAGUAUCACAGAAAUCAACAUCCUCAACACUAAGACGUGGCUCCUCAAGCACACUCUGUUUAGACAGAAAAAAAAAAGAAAAAGGGUAACAAGUUUUAGAUGCAAUAGUAGGAAUUGCAAGUAUACCUCGAGACUACAUAUUAGAAGCGAAAAGCUAACACAAUGUCAAAAGGGACUAAAAGUUGAAAACUCAGGAAACAAGUUGAAUAGGCCAAAGCAUAUUAUAGACUGAGUACAAGAUUAACCGCCAAUAAGUAGUGAUGGCAGAUCAAACAAAAAGUACAUAUCAGUGAAACUUCUUUUCAUAAUUAGUAAUAUUUUCUCAUAUCUAGUCUGUAACUGUUCACUAAAACCACUGAAUUACAAUAAUGAGAAACUAAGCAAUUUAUCAGAAUAAGAAAAAAUAAAAGCAACUUUCAAAUAACACAACCUGUAAAAUUCUAGCAGAACGUAGAGCAAUUGCUAUCAACUCUAAAGAGUCUUUCGGUGUCAUUGACUGUCCAACUGCCUGCGAUUUGCAAUUUUAGGGUUUUAUACUACUUCCUUUAUAUGAAUAAUAAUUAUUAGGGAGAGGCUACUGGAAACUCUUCAUUUCAGCAUAAAUAAAAUAGUUGUAAACUCCAAAUAAUUAUUUCAUUUCACUAUAGAAGGUAUAACAUAACAGAUGCACAGUGCAAACCUCCCAGUUAUUUGAACUGGAUAAUUCAGCAUUGCGGCGAAGAAGAUAAUGCGAAUCAACAGGCACGCCUCCUCUUGCAGCAUCUGUAAAUAAAUAUAGAUAUCCUCGAUGAUGCUCAAUGAUGCAAUGAGCAUGAGGUUCACAUUCCCAUACUAGCGUCAUACCAGACAAGGGAUCGGAUAAUUUUAUUAAGUAUACCUGCACAAUAAGGAGCCUCUGUUGGACAGACGUGUAAUGACAAUGAAGCUAAAGAGAAUGCACCUAAAAUUGAAUGAUACCUUUGAAGAGAUAUCCGAAAAGAUAUUUACAGUUACAUAGCGAAAAUCCUUUGUGUUUCUAAUGUUUACAUAUACAUUCUCAUCGGGUUCUUCCAAAAUCAAAACAUCAUUCUUAUCAGAUCCAAGAACGCUACAAAAGAUCCUAUGGAAAGAAAAAUCCUCAAUAGCACCACAACUAAAAAGAAAGGAGGGAAAAUGACACAAACAGUAAACCUACUAACCGAUAUGGCCUUUUAUCAUCAUUUGUAACUGUGUAGAGUAAUGCUUGCCCAUUCAUCGCCCAUGACAGGUUUGCAACCCGAUCAGCACGCGGUUUGUCGCAAAGUGUGCCUGUCGUCAAAUCCCUCACAGAUAACGUAAAGGAGUCUUUAUCCUUGUCAUACAUAGUAUAUGCAAUAUAGCGGUGAUCUGGAGACACUUCAGAUAGUUCCUCGUAAGAGUAUCCUGUGCAGUGAGCAAACAACAAAAUGUCUAACACGUCUUAGGUUGGUUAUGAAAUACUUUGAUGAAAUUCUAAAUAAUAAUGCCUUGCGAAGUACUAGCGAAAGAGGAGCAUCAAAAAAGGAAACUUUUUUCACCUCCAAAACAUUCGGCUUCAUUAUAAAGGAGGCAUGAAAAAGAUACUUUUUACUCAUUUUCAACAAAUAGUUCCUUUUUUUUUUCCUGAGUGCUUGCUUGGACUAAGUAUAUAAUGCUCCAGCCAUAUCAGAUAGGGCUCAAUACUCACAACUAAAGUUAAGAUUUUGUUCAUAUUUUCAAAAUUCUACAGCCGAAUAGCGAAAGAGGAACAUCAAAAGAGGGAGCUUUUCCCUUUUCUCACCUCCGAACCGCUCGGCCUCUUGAUUGUAAUCGAUAAGCUUCUGCUCGAUCCGCUUCCCGGAGGUGAAAUCGAAGCCCGCGGAGGGCUCGCUGUAGGAGAUGAACUCCUGGUGGAGGGUCGCGGAUCUGCGGCAGAGCACAGGGUACUGCUUGCCCUCCUCGACGCGGCGGUAGUAGAGCCAGGGCCCCCACCGGACGGGGGGAGUGGAGAGCUCGGAGGCGAGGCGCGGGGCCAUCUCGAUCUGGAGCUUGCGCACGAGGCGAUCGGCGCCCGCGGCGGCCAUGGCGGCCUCCGCGUACUUCUCCUCCUGCUCCAUGUAGACGUCCAUGUGGCGCAUCGCCACGGAGUCGGAGAGCGACGACAUCCAGCUGUAGGGGUCGUUCCACGUGACGCCAUGGACGGUGAAGGGGACCGGCUUCUGCGGGGGCUUCGGAGGUGUCGGCGGCGGCGGCAGCGGCGGCGGCGGAGAGGUGCGGGGCUUUGUGCCCCGGCGGUGGAGGAGGCGGCGGAGGAGGAAGAGGGGGAAGGGGUUGCGCGAGGCUUCGAGGGAGGAGGAGAGGCGGAGCAUCGGAGAUGGGGUUCCGGGGGUGGAGUAGGAGGAAGGAACUAGGGUUUAGGGUGAAGGGUUUUGCAGAGAAAUGAAUGAUGCUCGGGCUCGGGAUCGGGUUCGGGUUCGGGCUCGCACUAGUACACGUGAUGGGACUUAGCCCCUAUUUGCAAAGGCCCAAGCCUUUUUAGGAGUAAAAAAUGGAGCACGCCACUAUUGGGCACCAAGCCCAUAUGGAAAUGCAUGGGCCGCAUUAUCGGGCCUCGCUGAGUAACGAAUUUGUAUUACGAGAGUGCACUCCCUGAUACGAUCACCUAACAAGCUUCGUCGUAAAGUUAACAAUUUAUUGCUGCAUCGAAAACAAAGAGCUACAAUUAUUGGAGUUACAACUUUGGGUUGGCUCUGAAAAUUACUUGGGCUUCUCAUCACAGCGUAAGAUUGCAUUAUUACUUGCUGAGUACUUCGUUUGGAGCUCGCUCUAAAAGUGUAGCUAGAUAGCCAAUGAAUAUUAUACUAUUAUUACAUAUUUCUAUCCUGUUCAAGGAAAAACAUUUCUCAAUUUUUUCAAGGAUUUCCCCCAAGGAUACACACAAUGUGGCCUUAGUACACUGAUGAGCUCAAGAUAUAGCUGAGGAUUUGAGCUUGGUUGGAAAGACAAAAAUAAUUUCUACUUGUAAACAAGAUGAUGAUUCACAUAAUACCCCCAAAAAAGGAAUUACUAACUGGCUACAAAAGUAAAUAUAGUUCCACAAUUUGACAGGGAAAAAAGGAAUUAUGAAUUUAGUAACUGGAAUCCGAACUGGGAAAAUGCCAAGUUUAUCAACAUGACAACAAAUUAUUCAUCAAACUGUCCAACUUUCCCAGCUACAAGACCAUCCCAGAAGUCACCAGACGAACGACGAGAAGACUAUUCCCUCGAUUUAAUACAAAGGGAUCAUCCAUCAAUCAACUGUAUUCAAGUACCUGUGUAGUGAGAGGAAAGCUUUUAAGUACCUCAAAUAUUAGAUGGCGAAAAAGUUUUACAUCAGAAUUAGAAACACAAGCAGAAGAGAACAACAACAACAACAAAAAAUUGAGUGAAAUUCAUUAUCUUAAUCAAAAUCUGAAAAUUAAGCUUCUUGAACUGAAUGCCAAUGUUGAUCUGUCCUUGAUAAUCUGGAUGGGUGAUAGUUAAACAAUCUGCAUACCUUCUUCCUAUGUUCGGCAUUUAGGUGGGGCCUGCACCAGCUAAUCAUCAUGGCGCUUUAAAGACUGUCUUAGUUGUAAUUUGUAAGUUACAUGUAUGACAGAUAUUAGUGACAAUAUAAAUUUGAAUUCAAAAGUUUGGCAGAUUUGAAAGAUGAUGUGAUUUUCUUUCUUUUCAUGCUAACCUGACAAACCAGUAGCUUGCAUACGUUUACAAAGUUGAACAUUCCUGAUUUUUCUUGUGUCCUGUUGAACAUACAAAGAGGGCAUAUCGCCCUUGAUAUUCCUGUAUGUUUUACUAUCGCUUCUAUAACAUUUACAUCAUGAAGUUAUUGUUCCUUUUGAUAAAUUUUGUAUGGAGCUAUCUUUUACUUCCGGAGUAAAAAGGAAAAAAGGUUACAGACAGCAGCAUUUUUGUUAACCUGAUGGUUUAUGUACUCAAUAUAUUUCCGCUAGAAAGGGCAAGCAUCCAACAGUUUCUAACGUAAGCAAAAUAUUCUGAAAGAAGCACGUAAGAAAGUACAUGCAGAUAUUUGUAGAAAUGGUUAUUCACAUUCACUUUGAUUAUUCUAUUCAUUUCAUUUACGAACAAAAGCAACAAAACUUCUUGAAACUCGGACAGCAAUGUCCGACAACAUUCCAUUCAAGUAAAUGUCUAAGUUCCAAUAUAUGAUAUGAAAGAAUGUUUAUAAGAAAAAAAGCACAACAAAAGGAAAAUAAAUGCAUUCCCAAACAAACAUGACAAAAAUUGCACAGCAUAGCAAUGAGUACUCGUAAAGUAAAACAUUAUAUUUGACGAAUUUAGAUGCAGUGGAUAGUAACCUUAGUGACUUCUCUUGUCAAAUACUCGAAUCAUCAUUUGCCUUUUCUAUGACUUCCUUCAAAUACAAAUUCCUAAGCUGUUUAAUGUGGGAAAAGCAACAAAGAAAGAAAGAAAACCUACAGCAUUAUUAGCCGAAGGAUUUCCACCGGAUGAUGUCCACUUUCUCGCAUCAACCAUCUUUGCAACUUUUCCCUAUCAAAUCCCAAUUCCAAUUUCCUCAUAUCAACCAAAAACCCAACUUUUAUAACAACAUACCAUCUAAACAACACGAUAAACGCCAUAUAUAAUCAUCGAAUCAGAAACUUGAAGCAUCUACUGGUUAGUAUUUUUGUUCAUUUUGAUAAAUUUAGCAUACUAACACAACCAAAAUGCUCGUGAGUCUAAGAAACAGGAGAUGAUAACAAGAGAUCUUAACAGGUGAAAUGGAAUUUACCCUGAGAGAGCUCACAACACGCCCUCGCGGCGACCGAGAGGUGCGAGGUGAGGCGGGGAAGGGUCACCGCGCUGUGGAGCGGUAGGAGCGACUGAGUACAACCCAAUGCUCCCAAGGGCCUACGGAGAACUCCAUUUCAGAGAUCGAAAAGAGCAUUUUGAAUUAGGGUUAGGGUUUGGGUUUGGCUCGAGGCUAGGGUUUUUACCUCGGAGAGGAGAAGCGGCGGUGGGGGAGGCGAGGGGCGGAGACGGGAGGAGAGCGGAGGCGAGAGGCGGUGGGAGGGGAUCGGAGCGAGGACGCGGCGGAUCGCGCGGUGGCGAGGAGGGAUCGCGAGAUCGGAGCACGAAACGCCAUUUUUGGAGAGGGGAGAGGGGGAAGAUAAAGGACAAGGAGAAGCGGGGGGUUUAGGGUUUGUCGACUGUCUGUACGGGCCCCUUAACGGGCUUGCAUUUGGGCCCAAUUUACGGGCCCUGCUUAUGGCCCUCUUCGGCCUGUUUUUAGUGUUUUGAAUUACUAUACUGAACACUUUUGUAAGUGGUUUUUUAAGGCUUUUUCAAUUAGACUUUAAAAUUUGAUAAAACUAAUAUUAUACCAAGUUUCAUGGUAAUUUGGAUAAUACAUUACAAUUAAUAAUUAAUCCCUUCAAAAAGUAGAUGAGAGUAGAAUCUGUAUUCUUUAUUACACUGCUUGGAAAGUUGAAUACUUCAUGAUUUAUUUAUUUUUUUUAAUAAUAUAAUUUUAAAAAGUGGACAUGCUACUACUAAAAUUAAAAUUAACCUCCACAUAUCAAAAUGGAAUUAGCUCACUUUGAGGGAUUGAAGAAUGUGGACCUCACUAGACCAAUCAGCUGGGUUCAAUUGGGAACCUCAAGUUCUCUUGGCCACACCAUUAAAACUGACCAUCAUGUCAAUAAAAUUAAAAUAAAUAAAUAAAUAAAAUAAAAUAAAAGGAUAAAAUCCUCAACCUCAACCAACCACACUCUCCCUCACCUUAUCCAAAUACCAACUCCUCCUCUCUCCUAUACAAAACUCCCUCUUUCCCCCCUCUAUACUCUCUCAUCCUUACUCUUCAACAAGACAACACACAAAGCAGUAAACACCAGGUAAUUGAUCCAAACCAUGUUCUACACUAGUGCAAUUCACCCUCAGAUUACUAGAUUCUCCUUUGCAUUGCAGGCUCCCGCGGAAAGCAGCAAUGGCGGCGAUCCCCGCGACGGUCAUCUCCGCCUCCGUCGCGAGCCAUGCGGCGGCUAAGAGGAAGUCCGGGGCCGCGUACGUCGAGGGCAUGAAUGCUUUCGGGGGGCUCAAGGCGCAGACCGGAGUUUCGUCCCUCGGCAUGUCGAGGAGCACCGAGCAGUCGUUCGCGACGAUCGUCAGCUCCCUCAGGCAGUCGGUGCAGAAGAAGAAGAAGGGCGGCGGGGCGCUGUCGUCGACGUGCAACGCGGCGGGGGAGAUAUUCAGGAUCGCCGCCAUCAUGAACGGGCUCGUGCUCAUCGGCGUCGCCAUCGGGUUCGUCCUCCUCCGAGUGGAGGCGGCGAUCGAGGAGUCCGAGUAGAACUAGGAUUAAACAAAAGUACUUGAGAAUUGCAUCAUGUUUUGUACUUUUUGUUUAUGUUAUAUGAACUAUAAAUUGUUUUGAAUUUGUACUAUGAUUGGUUGCAUACUCUGAAACAAGCCUUUUAAGUUGAGAAGUGUUUUGAGUUCCUGAUUCAUUUAUAGACUUAAUAGAUUUGUAUGAGUAACAAACAUAGGGGGUGAAAAGAAUGAUCAGAUAAAAGAGGCAAAAUAAGAAUGUUACAGAGAUUGUACAUAAAGAAAUUCAGAUUGUUGGUAACUGCAAAGCAAACUUACUGCUGAGAAGCAAUUACAGAUUGUAGGAAAACAUGUCUACAAAUCAGCAGAAUAUAAUGAACUCAAAAGUGUUUCAUGAGAAAACAAGCCUACAAAUUGUUCCUGGACUACCGCAUCUCAGUUCAUUUAAAUGCCCUAAUUGUUCAUCAAAUUAUAUGAAAGCAAAAAAUGUUGGCUAGAAGGGGCCAACAUCAUAUCUUGCGGCGAAAGUUGGAUUAGGUCGAGGCAUAGUCGAUGCCCUACAUGCUACGUAGCAGGAGCCAUAUUAUAAAUUAAGAUCCGUAGAUAUUGUAUCUAUACAUUUUAAGUAAAUAAGUUGUGUUUUUUUCAAUAAUUUGAGAGUUUUGAGUUAAUGGUUCAUGUCAACGCUCGACACAAACAGAUCACACACAGAGUUUUUACAGCAGAUUCACAUCUUCAAUACUUGCGGCAAUGGGAUAACACACACCCCCCACACCAAAAGAGAGAGAAGGGGUUGGAAGAACCCGAGCUUAAUGGGCGGGGCUGUAAAUUUGGGCCUCAUUGAGGUUAAUUUUAAUUUUGUGAAUAGGUGGACCAAGAGGCCCAUUUAGAUCCUACUCUAAGGUAGCGUUUGGUUGGGAAACAAGGAGGGGAAUAAGCCCGUUCCCAAACGCUGCGUUUGGUAUCCGAGAUUGGCAUCCGAAAACAGUAGUCCUCGGAUUUCUGGAAUAAGCCGAUAUAAGGAUAAAACUGUUGUUCCACCUUUUUCCUGGAACAAGCUUGUUCCCAGGUGAUAAUUAGGUUAAUUAAAGUCUAAAAAUAAUUUUAAUUAUAAUAUUAAAUAAUAUAUAAUUUAAUUAAUAUAUUUAAAUUAUUAUUUAUUACUAAAAUAAUAAAUUAAUUUAUUUAUUUAUUAUUUAAUUAAAUUAUUAUUAUUUAUAAAUUAUUAAUAAUUCAUUUAUUUA
rnacentral:lncRNA from 1 species